ACACGGACAGAAUCUCCCCUGUAUUUGCACGGCGUCACACAAGUAUAAGAAGUAACCCAGGUACAACCACAACCAAAUGAAUAUACAAAUAACCAACAAUUAUAUAUUCAUACACCACUCACAUCACAGGUUCACAUUUAUAUAUUCGAUAUUUAAAUAUAAAUCCACAUCUAUCAGUUAAAAUAUUUCCAACCACAGAAAUAGGUUUUGAAAUACUAAGAUGCAAAAUUCACAGAAAACCUUUUGAAAACUGUUUCCUACACGGAAACCUUUAUUCUUUAAAAACGCUACCACGAGGGGUAGAAAACCUUUUAUUUUACAAAAUCCAGAAAUCCGUUUAUUACAUUCACAAAAAUCCAUAUUUUCAAAUGUAAUAAAAGUACUGAACCAUAUAACUAUCUAAGCUAUAACAACUGAAAUAAUAAGGGUAAUAACUAUACCGAAAUAACCUGGGUCGGAAGCUCUAUCGACCGCUACACACGUACCUCACGUCUCGUCCCACUACUCAUCGCCCGCGAUACCUGAAAAAUGGUGGGGGAGGUGAGAACAUGUAAACAUGUCUUCCCUCCCAGUGGGUACCGCAAGCCGAAGAGGGCGUGGAGUACUCACCGGAUCAGGAGGAGCUAUAUAACAACACGGGUCAGUGAAAAUAUAGUAGCAACAAUAAUAACGAAAGAGAUAUGUAAGGUAAUGAGCAGAUAUAACGAAUACAGUAGCAAUAAACUGAAAGAAAGUAAGAACUAGACUGAAUAACGGCUACCGCUACUGUAACUGGAACCGAAAGCAUACAUGAAUGUCUACUAUAGUAGCAAGACAACUAUAACGUAUGAACUGCAAAUAUGCAUGGAACGACUGCUACGAUAGACAUAUGCGUCAACCGGUUAAGAAGUCCAAAAGUAGCCAAUCUGAAACCAAUGCUCUCUUGGUCAGCACCGCAAACCUCAAGCCAAUGCCACUACUAUUCUCCAGUGCAUAUAACCCCUCUAGGGAUCACGGGUUGUCACCAUUCAACCACUUUUUCGGAAAAGAACACUCCUUGCGGUAGAUCAGACCGCCAGUGUUCGUGAAAUGUGACGGGUAUCGGGCGAUCAAUGCAAUAUGCUCAAUGAUCAACCGUCGGCAACCAGCCGACAAUCCUGCCCCCCAGGGCCCAUCGACCGCAUAGGUCGUCAACUGUAAAGAAGCACAAGAACCGACCACUUAGGUCAACUAGGAUGGGACAACAUCGACAUCCUCUCAAACAUAUGCAAAUACUGCUCAAUGAACCACAAGGACUGACCACUCAGAUCAACUAGGAUAUGAAACUCGACCAAUCACGUCACAAGUACAGGAUAUGAAACUCGACCAAUCAUGUCACAAGUAUAGGAUAUGAAACUCGACCAAUCACGUCACAAGUAUAGGAUAUGAAACUCGACCAAUCAUGUCACAAGUAUAGGAUAUGAAACUCGACCAAUCAUGUCACAAGUAUAGGAUAUGAGACUCGACCAAUCAUGUCACAAGUAUAGGAUAUGAGACUCGACCAAUCAUGUCACAAGUAUAGGAUAUGAGUAAAGUAUAAUCAUUCGUCGGCAACUAACCGACAAUCCCACACCUCAGGGUAUACCGAUCUCAACGGUCAUCAGACAACAAAGGUCGAGGAACUCACCGAAUAGGUCACAAAUACUGAAUAUUAGAAUCGACCGACUAGAUCGCUAAUCUCACAGAUAAUCACGGAAUCGCUCUACUAUAAAUAUGAAACAGGAUAUGCAGAAUAGCUAAGUAGAGCAACAAGGAAACAUGGUAUCACAUACAGAUAGACUAUACUCCUACACAUGAUACUAAGCAUGGAAACAUCUGAGUAGAGUAUAAUCAAACAACGUGGGUGUAAUGUAAACAAUAGAGGUGCAAAGCUCAACAUAUAAUAUAAGCAUGGAUAAUAACAAAAGAGCAAGGGUAAGAAACCAUCACCGAGCGUGCACCACUGUACCAACGUCGGAUCGAAGUACCCACCUGUACAACUGUCACGCCUGUCUCCUGACUGCAAAAGAACGUCAACGGGACCUAAGGAGGGUCCACUGGGUUAGUGUCUAACCCACAACUAAGAAACCCUAAGAGUAUAACCCCAUAAAUAAACCCACAAGAAUCGGUUUCCCAAACCGAUCGUCGUAAUACGCCGGAAAUCCCGUAAUCGCACCGAGACUCUGCAGGGACCCACGGACUAUCCCGGAAGGCACCGACUCGUACCACGAGUCACCCGCUGCCCCUAAAUACAAAUUUACGUGUGACUUGGCAGCAUAGACCUUACCUUACUCCAAAACGAUUAUCGUCGGAUAAUCGUUCCGAUCCGGGUUCCCGGAAGUGUCUAUUUCGACACCGGAACCCACCGUCGCUCACCCGUAAUUUCUGAACUCUCGAAACGACGCGAGUGACCAGCCAACAAGGCUCAGCGACGUUACAGUCAAUCACGAGGCACCGUCGGAUGAAUUCCGAAUCGAAAACGCGUUCUAUCGGCGGAUUUUGCCGAAAAAUGCUCCGAAAAUCACUUUUCGAUUUCCGCAAGGGCUUGGGGCCUUGGAUGAUCAGUCCAGAGGUUAUCCUCAGCCCAAACAUGCUGCCAACAGCAUCCGCGAUGAACAAAGUUGCAUAAAAGCCCUUCCGAAUACCCGAAAUCGCAUUAUUUCAUGCGAUUUCGGCGCUUUUAUGGUCCGUCCACGCAAACCAGAGGUCAAUCAGCCGAGCCAAGAUGCCCACUGGCAGGUUUCGACGUACCGGAGGCCGUGCUCACCUUUCGGAGCAAUUUCGGCCACUGAGGCGAGCGCGGGAGCGAGAUGAACUUCAGCGGACUGCGCGCACAGCAUAAAGAACAUGCUUACCUCGCAAAUCAGAGGCUCUCAGACUCCAAUGAAGGUGGCCACAAUGAUCAGCACUGAACCAGGAUCAUCGUGCUCACCUUCAGAAGACUUGGGGUGGCCUCCGUUCACCGGAACAGUGACCGGAACCCUAAGACAAGGUGCAGAAAGCUAUUAAGUAACUCACCGGAGCAAGGUAAGGCACGGGACGGCCGGCGGCGGCCGGACGGUGGGCUAGCCAGCCACGGGAAGGUGCGGCCAGUGCGGGGAGGCUAGGGCGCGCGUCGGCCGACAACGGGAGGCGGCGGAGGCGGCGAACGAUGAUGCCCUAGCCGCACAACCUAUGGAGAGCUCGGGCUCAUCCCGGUUGACAGGGUGCUCCGACGGCGGGGUAGCCGGUGGCGCACGGGUGCGGCCGUCCAGGCGGAGCCGAUGCUCACGCCGGCCGGCGGCGGAAGGCGGCGGCGGCGGUGCUGGGUGUGGCUCGGCCUGCACAGACCCUGCGCGGCCACAGGGAGUGGGAGCGGCGGCCGGCGGCCACGGGGACGGCGGCGAUGGCACGCAGAGGGUCUCAGGAGACCUAGGAGGUCGACGCGCCCGAUUGAGGGCGGUGGUAGUGCGCGACCAUCAAACUGGGCCGAGCUUGGUCCCAACCGGGUCUGGGCUGACCAAGCGGGGCAGGUUUGGUUCCGGCGGCGCUUGCGGGCGGCGGGGAUGAUGCCGGUGGUCGACCUCAGCCAGAGGGAACAGGACUAGAUGAUUGUGGUGGUUCUCCAAGGGUGUGGCAGAGUUGGUCGAGGCAAAUUGGAGGGAGAAGGCAAUAGAGGCCCUCUCCGGCGGACGGAGGAGGUCGACGGCGGCCAGGGUAGGAAUAGCAGGGUGCCGAAGGGGUGAUGGACUCUACUGGGGCGCAGCAAGGGCUAGAGCAACCAUUAGGGUUAGGGUUUCCAUGGAGAAACCCUAAGUUAGUUUUAUAUAGCAUGGCAAAAAUGCAUUUUAAUCCUCCGAAACCUUCUAAUAUCGGUCCAGUCCCUCAUCACGCGUGUAAUAUGCACGUACACCCCUCCACGACCGAUCUCUCGCAAUUUGGUACAUAAAAUAUUAAGACUUUUGCAAAAUUAUCGGUUUUGCCAAUUCGACUCCUCAGCGAACAUUUUGCGUUUUCCGAAAAUCCGUCCGUCGGAUUUUCGAUCCGACAGCGCCAUCGCGUUCAGCACGACGGGGGCAUCGAAACUACGAUUUCGUUUCAUCUGAUUUGCUUGCCGAUUUGCGACAAAAUCUGACCUUUCUCCAACUAAUCCAUAUAUCACACAUAGGCUUUGGUGGAAAACCGAAAUCCUUUAAUUCAAACUCGUAUUUGAAUUCCCUACCACCCGUAGGUACUUGAAACAUCUCUCACCCAUCUCCAGAUCACUUGUACAAAGCACGAGGAGUUUUAAAAUGCACGAAUAGCAAAGAGCGAAAACCCUCCUUUUGUUAAAACUCCUUUUUCUCGAAAAUCGUGCAUCGGAUCUGAAAUCCGUCAGUGCCACUGGUUCCAGAAUAGCUGACCCGAUUGAAACGAGCUAUUGGAUCGCUAUGAACGGAGUUCGAUACGCGGCGAAAGCCAACUCUACUCCGUGGCUUCACUGAAAAACCGGGUUACUAUUCACUUUAAGUGAAAACUAAUAAUCGCGUAACUUCUCCAUUCUAGUUCAUAUUCUCCUGAAACUUGACGAGUGCUUAUGUAACUAAAUUACACACAUAAACAUCAUCAACAGAGAGUUUAUUUGCACUGUAAAAAUCUCAGUCCUUACAACCCGAUCGAUUUUUGUCUCACGAAUCGAAUGAGUCGCAUACCAUACGGAUGGUGUCAAUACUCUCUUCAUGAUUCACCAAUCAAUGAAGAGUAAAGAAGUUGAUCGGAGAGUAAUACGAGUUCAGGAGAAAACUUCGGAGAAAGUUUGAUGUAUAUGGAGUAGUUAUCUCCCAAAAGAGGUUAAGUAACAAGCAUAGCUCCUGGAUUGUCAGAUGGGUGAAUAUAAUAUGGAGAAUAAACAUCGAUUUCGGAUGUAAAAUUAUUAGCAACUUCUUUCGCCAUAGCAUCUUCUUUUGCCAUAAAAAAAAAAUUACUAGGUACAGAACUUCCAAUUCUCUGAUACCAUGCAUGUGAAAAAUGAUUAAGUGGAAAAGAGUAAAAAAUUCAAAUUGGAAUGAUAGACAUUCGUCUCACUUUACUAAAAUUUGAUAGUAUGUAUAAGAUUUACAUCAUGAAUUAAUCGAGAAAGGAAAAAAUAAUACAAAAUAUUAUUGCCUUAUAUGAGCAGUCAUUAAAUCCAUUAUUGCCUUCUAUUUGCCAUCAUUAAAUCUAUUUAAAAAAACCAGCUGAAACCGACGGUUCCUAAAACAAGUGGCAAAGGACUUGGUGGUUGGUAUCCGAGAUCCCAAGUUCGAAUCCUAAUUGGUUCACACAUGCAUUUCGAGCUAAGUUUAUUUCUAAAUGAAAUAAACGUUUUAGAAAUAAACGAAGCGGGUAGCGUGCUAUCUAUCUCUCUCUCAAAUAAAAAAAAAAAAAAAAAACCAGCUGAAUUGGCAAGACAAUUUUGGUCCAAAAUUGUUAGACAAAUCUCCAUCAUUCUCUCCAUCAAAUAUAGAAACUUUAUUUUCUAAUAAUACGAAAUUAAGUGCCGUAUGAUUUGUUUUUUAAUUAAUUUUUAUUUCACAUCCAUAGGUAUACAUAUGUAGAGUCCGGCUGGGAUACUAUCGAUAGUACCAAGGGAUUGGUGCUAUCGAGUUUUCCACUGUUAGAUUUAAUCCUUUGAUUAUUUUUAUUCGUUAGAUCAUGCUAUUUAACCAACUACUCACUCAACCCUAGGGGACCCACAUCAUCCUAACCACACAUUCCUCAAUCUAAUGGCUAGGAAACUAAUAGCACCAAUAGCUUGGUGCUAUUGAUAGUAUUACAGCCUAGUUCUACAUAUGUAUACCUACAUAAAUAUAAAUCUAUUUAGUAAAAUCUUAUCUACUAAAAUUUGCUCUCUUCAAUAAAAUUUUAUAAUUAAAUAUUUAUACUGUCACGCCCCGGAUUACCACGUAUCCCCAGGCACACCAACAGACCUGUCGUAUACAUAGAAAUCUUCAUAUAUACGAAGCGAUAGCUGUACCUAUAAACAAAUUAUAGCUACAACCAAGUGUAUCGAGCUGCUAAACUGAAACAUGAAUAUAUAUAUAUAUAUAUUAUAUAUAUAUAUAUAUAUAUAUAUAUAUAUAUAUAUAUAUAUAUAUAUAUAUAUACAUAAAGGGGGUUACUAUACAUACAAAAGUCCACGACCCAUCUCGCUCCAACGAGUACAAUGAUAACAUAACAAUAUGUACAUAGAAAGCCUCGAAACUACCUCUGUAUGCUACUCCUCUAGCACGGCGACCAGACUGGUAGAGAUCUAGCUCGCGACUCCCUUCCCACUGUCAGAAUCAGUAACAGCAGCAGCCGCAAACAAAAACUCUGCAAAAAGGGGUCAACAACUGGAUGUGAGAAUUACUGCAAAACAGAGUAGUCCUUAGUGGGUACCGCCACCGACCUCAACAGUGUAGUGUUUCUGAGCUUUGGAUAGGAUUGGCUUUGAUAUUAGUGACUGGUCGACACAUCUGGAGAGUGUCGGACUGAGUCGUAGUCGUUUCUGUACGAAUUGGAUGCAGAAAUUGACUCGGCGCACUCAAUUAAGUAAAACUGGAGUUUUGCCAGAUUCGGGCGCCCAGAACACGGUUUAGGUCGCCCAGAAUUGAGUGCUGAAUUUAACUGAAACUGGAAGCCAAUUCGGAUCCUAUAUUUCGGGCGCCCAAAAGUGGGUCCGAAAAUUUUACAUCGUUAAUAUCGUUUGUGUUGACACGUAGCUGGUGGUAGAUGAGAUCCGCCGGAGACGUUUACGGGUGCAACACACCACGAGCGAAGAGUCCGAGGAGGAAGAUUUGUGCAGCCUAGAGGUUUCGGGUGCCCAGGAUUGGGUUUCGGGCAUCCAGAAAUGCCCGUUUCUGCAGGGACACUAGGUUAGCAGCUUUGGAACCUGGGGCUUAUUUUAUCCUUCCAGCACUCUAUAAAUAGGGGGAGCUUGACCUCAGUGAAGCCUUUUCGUCCAAUUUUCACACUGAACCCUUAAAUUGCAUUUCCAACCCUCAAAUCUACUCAAAUUGCUUCAAGAUCCACAACUCCAAGCUUGAUAGGUGCUGAUUCUGCAGUUCUUCAGCGAUGAUCUCCAGUGUUUUGGCUCGUACGCGAUGUAAGAAAGUCGGAUCGCGGUGAAACUUGGUUUGCUGGAUUCUAGACUUCCAGAGGAAUCCAGAAGCCCUGAAUUGCAGAUUUUGGUUGAGGUUAUCUUGGUCGAUUCCAUGUUUUUCUGGACUGCUGUUACUUUGAAGCUGAAUUUGAGUUUUAGUGGUUUUUCAAUGCAAUUCUUGGAUGGAACAGGGGUUUUGGACCUGAGAUUUGUACUCCAUCCUUAUUCACUGGAUUUGGAACUUGUCUCACCUGAAUUGGAGAUUAUUAGGUGAGUUUUGACAUUAGAGUUGAGAUAAUUAAGCUUAAGUGCUGAAAUUUUGGUGAAUUGAUGGAUUUUGGUAUUUUUGGUGCUUGAACCUCGAUGUAGCUUUGUUGCUGGACUUGAGGGUGUUUCGGUUGAUCCAUCAGGUUUUUCGCAGCUAAGAGAGAGUUCUUUUCUGCCAGGGAUUAGCUCUUGAGGUGGGUUUACAUCGGUUUUACUCCUAAGCCCGUAUUAGUCGACAUGUGUGAUUUCAGCUUUUGGUAGAUCAUGUGUUAGCUCAAUUUCUUUGAUUAGAUCAUGUAUGAAAUCAAAAUUGAGAGCAUGAUUAAUAAUUCGAUAAAUAUGCAUGUUGGACUUGGAAUUAGACUUAGGAGAAAACCCGCGUUUUGACCCGUCAUAUGAUUCUACUACCUGAUUUAGCUCUAGGAGCCGUGGUUUGAUUAUAUCACCGCUGUUUCAGCGCGGUGGAUACCUGGGAUAGUUUAGAAUACAUUUACGCUCGUGCUGGGAUGCCGAGCUGAUUUUUACAGCAGAGUCUAGGCUGUUUCGGAUUGUCGGGUGCCGUCGGGGUGGACGGUGGACCCAGAUUCCUGUUUUUGGUCUCAGAUUGUGCCGAGGGCAUGUGGGUUCGGUUUCUAGACCUGUUUUGACCCUAACUACUUGUCUUUGGCUUGUUAGAGUCUGAUUAAGCUCGACAGAGAUACGUUUGCAUACUCGGUUGGGUAGCGCCCACGAGUGCCACUCCGGACUUUGGCUUAGUGCUUUUGCGUUGGUGUCGUUCGUGCAGGUUGGAUUUGCUCUCCACGGACUUGUUAGUGUGGAGGUAGCUGGUUAGUUGCAACCUUGCGGGAUGGGUGUGUUCACAGUCCCAAGGAUGGGUAUGAUUACAGUCCCUAUUCGAGAUUGGGUCUGAGUUGACACUGCUCUACAGUUCGUUAGAUUAGAGCAUGAUAGUAUAGAGGCAGAUAGCUGUAGAUAUGUUCCAGCUUUCCUUACUAUUUCUUGCUUACCCCUGUAGACUUAGUAGGUGGACCGAUGAGUUGAGGGCGGUACCCACUGAGGACUACUUCUUUUUGUAGUAGUUCUCAUGCCCAGUUUGUUCCCAUCUGUUUUGCAGAGCCAUCGUCUUCGGCUGCUGCUGUCGCUGAUCUUAAUCGUGGCAAGGGCGUCGCGAGUUAGAGCCCUUCCAUUCGAGGUGCUGAGCUAGUGGAGGACCGCUGCAGGUAGUGUAGUUUUGGUUUAUACAUACAGAUGUUGUACUCUCGCAAGUGCGAGUGCUUUUGUAUCUUGGAUCUUAUGUAUGUAUAGAACCACAGUUUAUAUUUGCAUGUUUUAUUCUUUUCUCCUAGCUGCUUUAUACUUUUGUCUGUAGUAUUGUAUGAUUACAGGUACUUUUACUUUUCGCUUCGUAUACAGAGAAAAUACAUAUGUAUACGGCUGGUUUAUUAGCGAGCCCGGGGAAACGAGUAAUUCGGGGCGUGACAAACGGUCUACCCACUAAGUCUACAAAAAUAUGUGCAAAGGAUAGUAAAGAAAGCUGGAAAGAACUCUACAGCUACAUGCCACUAAACUAUCGCUAACCAACACAAUUUAAUUGUAGAUAAAAAUAUGCAUCAUACUAACCCAAUCUCACUAGGGCUGCCCAAACGAACUCAUCCUGCCUGUAACCAAACUAUACCAUACACCACCCACGGGGAUGGUCGGUCUAAGUAAACAGUCCAAAACAGGACGGCUGCGACAUCAACGCAAGUAAAAUCCUCACUCUGGAGCGGCACUCGUGGACGCAACCCAACAGAGUGUGCAAACGUAUCUCUGCCGAGCUCAAUCAGGCUCUCACAGGCUGUAGUCAAUGCAAAUGGGUCUAACUGGUCUAAGAACCAAAGCUUACGUGCUCUUGACACAAUCUGAUGCAAAAUAUAGAAAUCUGGAUCCACCGUCAACCACGACGGCAACCAACAGUAUGGAACAGUCUAUACUCUACUGUAAAACGAGCACGACCUUCGAACACGAGCGUAGACUCAUUCUACACUAAUCUGAGUAUCCAGUACGCACUAACAGCGAGGAUACAAAAGAAUUACAGCUCCUAAAGCUAAAUCUGGUAAUUUUUCAAAAAAUAACAAUGUAGGUUUAACGUGUUUUCUUCUAAGUCAAUUUUCAGUUCAACAUAUAAAAAGAUUCUAAAAUUAAGGCUCCAAAUUCAGAUUUCAUGAAAGCUAUGCAAAUCAAUGAAUUGAGCUACUAAAUAUGAUACUAUACAUAAAACCAUACGUGCUGACAAAACUCCAACUUAGGAGGAAAUCCGACGAUUUAGGUAAACAUCAACCCACCUCGAGCGCUCGUCCAACGUCGGCAAGGAAUUGACAGAAGGAAUCCCACGCGUUCGCUUGACCUCCCACGGCUCAACCGAGACACCCACGUGCACGAACGGUCCUCCGGAGAAGCGAUAAAUAAGAAUGAGCUCGAUCCGCGACUCCCCAACGAAGGGCGUUCACCAACUAGAGAGAGAAAGGGAAAAGAAGAAGCUACUAGGUCACAAAGCUUCUACCAUAAUAUAUAUAGGCUAGGGUCGGUUGGGUUGAACGUGUAACACACUGGACCUGUGCAAAUUGCGAUGUUCGAGUGCUUGACUUGGAUUCCGAGAUUUUCCACACUUGGUGGAAGGUCGUAGACUGUAUUCCGACUCAAAAGAUCGAAUUUCUGGAUUUUGGCUAAGUCCUGAGAAUUUUCACUCUCGAGGACCGGUCCAUGGUGGGAGAGACCGAUCCCCCCGGAAUAGUGUUGCGAUAGACUUGAGGCAACCGAUCCCUAGCAGUGAGAGACCGGUUCCCGAGAGCAUGUUCAGCGGGAGGGUCCUGAGGGACCGGUCCCAGCUAGGAGAGACCGAUCCCUCUGGGCGAAAAUUGCCCAGUUCAGGCUGAUGCACAGAUUGGUUUUUUGAGGGACCUAAGUGGAUUUUGUUACAUGAGAAGGCUUUUAGGCCAUUUCCUCUCUCUCUUUCCCUUACUUCUCACUCUCUCACGCUCUCUAGAAAGAGAAGAAGAAGGAGAAAUGAGAGGAGAAGGAGAAGGAGAAGAAGGAGAGCUUGCUUUGUUUACUUGGGACUUCUUCCUUAACCUCUCCUCUCACCAUUGGAGGCUUGGAGCUUGGACUUGGAGCUUUGUGGAGAACCAAUCUUCAACCCUUGAGGAUUUUUAGCUUGGUUUGGAGCAUCCUAGAGGUAAGUGACUAGCUUCCUUCCUCUAGAUCCUAGUUUUGUAGCUUUAAACUAGAUGAAACUCUAGAUUUGGAUUUUGGGGUUUAUUUUGGGGAUUUUUGAUUGGAGGGCUUUGGGACCCAAUUGAUUGGUUUAGAACCUUUUUUUAGGUUGGAUUGGAAGGGUUUUUGCUCUUUUUUGAAGCUUGAGAAGAGAUUUCUACGGGAGGUGAGUUUUUCUCCACCUUAGCUUGAGAUGGUUAAGAUUGAACUUUUCGAUGUUCGUUUUAUUUGUGUAACUCUUGUUCCUACAUCUUUAGGGUGCUAGGAGACUAGUGGACACCUCCGUUCGGCUAAACGAAGAGUUUCAUUUUUCGGUGGGUUUGACUCAUGAAAAUGGGGCAAAAUGGCCCCUAUGCUCUCUAUACUUAUCGUAAAGUCUUUUUGAAUGUAAAUCUAUGUUAGAUAGGAUUUAUGUAAAUUUUAGAAUACUUAAAAUGCAUGUGCUAUGUGUAAGAUAAAUUUCACUCUAUAUAGUAGCACAUUCUGGGUAAUCUUCAUGCAUGUGAGAAGUGUUCGAGAUAGCAAUAAGAAUCAUGUCUCUUAUGUUAAGUUAACUCAUAAUUGUGUAAUUGUAAACAAUACACUAUGAUUGGACUUGGUGAACAAAGUGUCAUAAAGGGGCACUUGAUUUGGUAGACUAUGAAGCUAUUAUAUUGAAAUAUCGCCAUGAUGACAUAGAGAUAGGCCUUGAGACAUUCGAUACCUUUCAUGUUGUUAGACAUGAGGACUUGGUACUUGAGACGGAUCUUACGCUACUUGCCAUUGUGCUCAUUCGCACAUGCUUGUGAGGGUCGCCUCCUACAAGCCGGCACUCCGAAGAUGGCCGUCGCGAUACAUAUUCGCCAUGCGGGAUUGGGCGCCGAAGUGGAUUGCCGUGGGAAAGGCUCAUUCAUAGAGUGGGGAUGUUGACUACCACGGGGCCAUUAGGCUCGGCAUCGGCCAGACAGCCUACGGGUGGGUCUUCAGGAUAGACAGCCUUCGGGCGGGUCUCAUGAGAUUUAACUUUAAGUAGUUAACAUACUAUGUGGACAUUGACUAGAAUAGUAAAUAGUGACAUCUUUACUAUUUAGCUUGUGGACAUCAUACUAAUGAUACUUUGGUACAUUCAUGCCAGUGUAGCCUUUUAUUACUUUAGCAAAAUCAUGCUAAGUAGAGAUAUCUUGUGGUAGCAAGUAUUCUUAUGUAUUUACUCGUUGUACUUAUCGCUCUUACUUAUACUUGUUUACUGACCCCUUUUUGUAGCUUUUGGGCGUAGUGGCGCAUUUCACUGAAGUUAGUAAUUGCCCACUGGGAACUAUUAUUUAAUAGUUCUCACGCCCUCUGUUUUAAGGUUUUAUUUCAGAGCCUUUGGCACCGGCGGAGGCACGGGAUCGCGGCAAGGGUGUUGCCUAGCUUUAUAGAUAGCGGAGCUCGCUUUUGCUCCUAGGUGGUUACCCUUUUUUUUGUGUUUUUGUGUGAGAGAGAUUUUGUACCAUGUAUAGAGACCACCUAUGUAUCUUGUUUAGCUCUUGUAUUUGGGACUCCUAUUGUAUUACUUUAUGGUUUCAUUUAGUGGAUUUGGCUUAUGUUCUUUUCCCUUAUUGUAGCCUCUAGAUAUACUUUGCUCUGAUACUCUUAGAUGUUCUUCUUCUAUUGCCUUAUUUAUAGCUUUGUAUUAGACGCCUUGUAUGUUUCAGACAUAUGGCGGGUUUGGGCACGUGCCGAGCAGGCUUCCGCUGGGUCUCGGGGCGUGACAGAACGACACUUCAAAAGGACAAAAAUAUCACUUACCAACUCACUUUUCCAGCUGGAGUACCGGUACCUAACUUGAAUACCGGUACUUGGCCUCUCAACCUGCAGUCUCGCACGCUGGGUACCGCUACCAGCCCGAUGCAGUACCGGUACCCGAGCUCGAUACCGGUACUCAACAAUAGGUAUUGGUACUCAGUAUCAGUUAUACGCAAACCAGAGAGCAACCUAGUUCUGAAAUCAUGCGGGGGUACCGGUACUCUUCUCUGGUAUUGGUAUUCAAAACUGAAAUCCUAUAUGUUGCAGAUUUCAGUGUCAGAACUCCGCUCUCAUACUGCGCUGAGUCCGUUUUUGCGUCUAUUUCGCGCCAAAAUGACUCUGAUUUGUCCCGACACUCACCAGACGUGACGACAAGCCACAGAUACUGAAAUCACACAGACCGCUAAACACCAGGGACACUACAUAUACUUAUCCAACUAAAUCAAAUUAAGUUAAAAUCUUAUCUCAUAAAAUAUUAUAAAUAUUUAAUUAUUCUCUAAUCCAAUUAAAAAUAACUAAUAAUCUCUCCAUAUUUACUUAAAUCUUAUCUAAUUUUAAUCUUAUCCAAUAAGAUUACUAAAAUAUUUAAAUCUCAUUUAAAUAUCCUUUAUUUAAAUAUUAUUCACUAAUCUAAUAAGGGAUAAAUUUAAAUCUCGCGCAUACCUUUUAAACUGAUUAUGAGAUUCUAAUCCAAUUAGGACUAUCAAUAAUAACUAACUUGAAUAACUAAAUUUAAAUUAAUUAAUCAGCAUCUAAUUUUUAUCGCUUACACUAAACUUUUUAGUGAACUACUCUCAUCUAUACAAUUUAGAUGCACAUAAUUUCUAAUGUGUGUGACUGCAUAGAUUCAUUACCAUUCGACAGUGGUGCUUAACAUCAAACUAUUUAAUAUUGAAUUAAAAUUCUUCAAAUUGAUAAAUAAGAAUAAUUCAAUCCGAAUCAUUCAUGUUCUCUCAUUGUUCAUGAGUGAUACUAGUAAUAUAUCACGGCAAUCCAGAAUGGUGAUGAAAAAUAAACUCUUCAGUUACAAUUGCUGUUUAAUUAAUUCCUUCCAACAUACAAUGUCCCAAUCGAAUUAAGGUCAUCGUUACUCGCCAAACUUUAUUAUUUGACCGUAUGACUAUAAUAGUUAAAUCAACUCAAUAUGAUAACACGGUUGGAAACUCACCACAAAUCAUGUACCCUAGCUAGGGGUUUUUCUAGUCGAGUUUGAUAGACUGCAUAGGAUAUUCUCCCUCAUCAUUGAGAGUGUUGGAUUCUUUGUUGCACAUUCACAUGCCUCCCCGUAUAAACAAUAAUACUACAGCCAAUCAGUAUUUGAACAUAAAUCCGUAAGUAGAGCCAAAGUAUAAGUACUGUCAAAUGGUAGCAACCUAUACAUGAAGCAACUAUGAUGCCUCAGGUCCGAGGAGUAUUUCACACAACUAUAGUAAAGAACUAGUCACAGGAGAGUAUAGAUGUGACUGUUCAACUAAAUGGCCGUGCUUGAAUGCUUGCCCUAGUGUCUCUACACUAAUGACUUGAGAUUCGUCACUCUAAUUAAAAACACAGCAUCCACCAGCCUAUCCGGAAUACCACCGCCUCUGUAAUAUUCCUCUGGCUAGGUGCAUUUAAAGAGUCAUGUAUAAAAGGGUAUGUGUCUCAAAUUUCUAACUCUUACGAAUGUCUUCUUAGAUAAAGACCCUAUGGACGAUUCAUGUCAAUAUUGCACUGUUAGACAAUAGAUAUGAAUAGAAUGCCUGCUCUUUAUAUUAUGAAUUAUAAAUAAUUAAGCACAAAUACCCUUAAACUAGUGUCGUCAGAUUGGCUUUUGGGUAUACAACUAACAGGUAGAGCUAGAAUAGUUUUAUAAUGGGCGACCUCUUGGGAAGUGGGGCAUCACAGUGAUAUCAGAGUCAAUCGCCAACCAAAAGUAUGAGAUGAGUCUCCGCUGAGUUAGGGUAAUAUAGCGGAUAGAGUACGGCUCUCCAGUUGACGAUCGUUGUGGGUAGAGCACGACUAAAGUCAGCUAAUUUUAGCGAGAUGUCUCACGUCGACUAGUUCUUGUGAGUGUACUUGAGUCUUACGAGAACGUCAGGGCUUAAAGUGGCGAUAAAUAUAACAACUAAAGAAUUUGGAGUAGUCUCAUAUAUUAGAUAUAAUAGGGUUAAACCUCUUAACCCAACUAUAGUAUUUUGGGCGGUAAUGAGGCCUAAGAAGUAAAGAAGGUUAAGAGUACUAGAGCUAGAGUAAUUCUAGGAUAAGUUACCUGUCACGCCCCGAGUCCGGUCCUAUUUGGCCGGUUCGAGUACGUCGAACAGACGCUGAACGGACAGCACCUCCCCUAUCCGCCCAAGGCUCAACAACAAGUUCAGAGCAAGUAUAUAAGUUGCAUAGCGGAAACAUAAUUAUACUUGGCUUGGACGAGGGUAAGCAAUAACCAAAAGUGAAAGUACUAAACUAAACCAUAUACAAGUACAAUGAUUAACUUUUAACCACAUACAAGCAUUCAACCACAAGUUACAUUUACUUUUCAUCAUUUCUUUUACAUCAUAUAUUCCCCAAAAUAGGCUUUUACAUUUAACAUCUUUAAUACAUUUGCAUCACUCAUAUAACUCUAAUCAUCAAAAUAUAAAAGAUGAUAUAUAUAAAAAGUGAAUGUAACUACUCAAAAUAGAACCAGCUCGGGUGGUCUCUGUCUAUGGCGCGAUACCUUUACAGCGAUAGUCGGCCGGCUCACUCAGCUCCGGCUCUGUGGAAUAGUGGGGUGAGAACUACAACAAAGUUUGCAGUGGGUUCGGCCGCUGACCUCGCCGACUUUCCAACUAGGUCUAAAUCAGGCAUAAUAGAAAGAUAGAUAGAUAGUAACCAACUAACAAAUGCAGCUAAUAUGUCUGAACAAUAUAAUCAAUGAUUAUGCUCAAUAGAAUGUUCAUGAUGAAUGCAAGGAUUACUUUCUAAUUUUCGGUACUUUUGGCUAACCCGUAGGUUUCACCUCAACCAUCAAAUAUUCCAAUUCUCAGAACUAUUGGCUAACCCGUAGGUUUCGCCUCAGCCAACCAUUCACCAACCCAAAUCCUUGGUAUCGGGAAGAUACUCGCUACAACCCGACGGGACCGUCCUCUGGGGAGAUACUUGCUACAACCCAGUGAUGAUUACUCCGGAGCUCAUCGCUCGUGGGGGAGCUACCACCCACCAAGCCAAGACUUAUAGAUGAGUAUGAUCAAUCCUUAACUUUAAGGAUAUCAAGUUCAAUCCAAUCCUUCGCUAUGGAGAUGCUAUGCUCAUAUGACCCUUAACUUUAAGGUUGCUAUAUCAGAAUGUCAACUAUCUCUCUUUACUUGCACUCUUUAACUUACAUUAGUGUCAUUUAUACUACUUGUUUUUAUACUCAUUCAUAUGCAUUUAUUAAUGCCACACACACUAAGUGUUCAACUCUAGCAUUUAUUGUUUACUAAUGCCACAUAAUCCAUAUGUCAUAAUGUCAUUUUGUUCUUUAUCUCAUCUAGGUCUUUGUCACCAUUUAUGCAUACAUAGGGUUUCACAUGUUAUCAAUAGCUCAUAAUAUUUCAAAUGCAUCUUAUACUCAAAGCAUGCAAUUAUAUACAUUCUACUCACCCUGCAAUGCAUGAACAAAGUAUACAUAUAUAUGCUCAAAAAUGACACUUUAGACAUAAAAGAAAAUUCAAUGAUUUCGGAAGGCACCACCCACCUUGUAUGGUUGUAAAGGUGCUACGGUUCAAAUCUCGAAAAUUUUGGGCUCCUAUUCUCUCGCCUGCGGCAAAACGAAGCCGACUUAGGCUUUUUGCUAAUAACUUUGCGUAGACUCGUGGGAUCGGCAAACCGAGUCCAUAAACGAAUUAUAAAUACCCCCAAUUUGAUUUCUACUAGAUCAAUUUGCCUUAAAACCAACCUAGGGCAAAAGCCCUAAUUUUGGUGCUCUAACAAUGUCAUUUCCCCAAUACCUUGGUUUGAUCUCUAAAACAAGUAAAUGCAAGCUUGUUGAACCUCUAGGAACUCAUCUAGAACCAUUUCUAGGUCAUUCAAACCAUUCCUAGGGCAUAUAAACCGAACUCUAGAAAUCCACCAUGUGUGCACAUGAAGAAAACAUGGUUUUCAUGUGUUCCAUGGCCUCUACUAGGUUUUUACACUUGUAAGAAGAUAAAAACAAAAGAUUUAGGGUAUAAAACACAUUCCUAAGCUCAAUCUUAUAAGAAACCUUACCUUAACCCACUAGCUCUCCAAUGUCCACCUUGUAGGAGAGACCUAAACCUUCAAAAGCUCCAAAUCUCCUCCAAAAUCCUCUUUAAUCUCCUCAUUGCCUCCUUGGGGAAGAGCUUCUAGAGAGAAAGAGAGAGAGAAAUAAGAGAGGAGGGGUGUUCUCAGCUGGGAACAAGAGAAAAGAGGGGUUGGAGUCUUAUAUAGGUUGCUACAAUAGCAAAUAGACCCUCAUUCUUUUCAUAUUUGCAGAAGACUGCAGUUGCAGUUCGGGGCAUGCGUAUUGGUACUACCCGGAAGUGUCACCGGUUACACGAUUACACAGAGGCCAACUCGAGAGCUGCUUCUCUCGGUCAGCAGUCUAGUACCGAUACCAAUUAGAUUUGUCACCGGUUUAACAGCUUGACAGAGGCUAACCCGACAGCAAUUCUGCUCUCGGUUUCUGUAGUGUACCGGUGACGCCCCUGGGCUGUCACCGGUUUAACAAUGCUCCAGACUUGAUUAUUGCAUUGAUUCGAUUCCGUUUCGCGCUGAGCAAUGCUAAAAACGUUUUUAACUCUUUUGGAAUUCAACUUUAAUCCUUCCAACAUUGUUGGAAUGUUAAAUGGACCUUGUCCAACUAUUCCUUUCGCACACUUUAAUCAAUUUGUCUAAAGUUCGAUACACUAUACCGAGGUUUCGGUAUAUUACAUUCUCCACCCCUUAAGAUUAGUUUCGUCCGUGAAACUAACUUAAUCAAAAUCUAAUUCCAUACCUCAAUUCAACUCUUCAAAGAGAUGAGGAUGACGCUCUCUCAUCACGUCCUCAAGCUCCCAAGUGUCUUCUCGAUCGUCGUGGUUGCACUAAUGGACUUUAACAUACGAAAUUUCACGGUUCCGUAAUUUUCUCACCUCUUGAGCGACGAUAUAUGCCAGGAACUCCUCAUAAGUCAUAUUCUCUUGAAGCUCAAACGGUUUAUACGAGAGAAUAUGCUCAGGAUCGUGAACAUACUUGCAGAGAUUAGACACAUGGAACAUAUUGUGAACUCCCGCAAGCCUCGGUGGUAAUGCAAGCUUGUAAGCCACCGCACCGACCCAUUCCAAUAUCUCAUAUGGUCCAACAUACCGGGGACUUAACUUUCCACGGACUCCAAAUCAUUUUACUCCUCGCAUUGGCAAUACUUUCAAAAAUAUGCGGUCUCCAACCGCGAACUCUAUAUCCUUUCUCCGCUUGUCGACAUAUUUCUUUUGCCGAGAUUGCGCCGUCGCAAGUAGUUGGCGGGCAAGGCGAACUUUUUCCUUCGCCUCCCGCACCACAUCGGGGCCAAGAGCAACUCUCUCGCCCACAUCUCUCCAAUGGAUAGGAGAGCGAUACUUCUUUCCAUAAAGGGCCUCGAAUGGCGCCAUCGCGAUACUCUCUUGGUAACUAUUAUUGUACGCGAACUCCUCCAUCGAUAAACGAUCAUGCCAUCCGCCCUUAUAAUCAAGUACACACGACCGAAACAUAUUCUCAAGACUUUGUAUUGUUCUUUUCGAUUGACCAUCACUUUGAGGAUGAAAUGUCGUGCUAAAGUCGAGCCGUGUGUCCAAAGCGUCUUGCAAGCUCUUCCAAAAAUGAGAUGUGAACCUAGGGUCUCGAUCCGAUACAAUUGACACCGGAACCCCAUGAAGUCUCACAAUCUCGUCGAUAUACACUUGAGCUAACUUGUCUCCCGACCACGUGGUAUGGAUCGGCAAAAAGUGUGCCGAUUUUGUCAACUGGUCCAUAACCGCCCAAAUCGCAUCAUGCCCGGCUUGAGAUUUAGGCAAACCGGUGACAAAAUCUAUCGCGAUAUUUUUUCAUUUCCAAAUGGGUAUAGAUAAGCUUUGCAACUUUUCCGCCGAAAACUGGCGCUCCGCUUUUACUUGUUGGCACGUGAGACACUGCGCCACGAACUCCCCAAUAUCUUUCUUAAUGCCCGGCAACCAAUAGUACACUUUCAAAUCUUGAUACAUCUUGGUGCUGCCCGAGUGUAUGCUAUAGGGAGAUUGAUGCGCUUCUUGCAUGAUUACCCUCCGAAUGUCUUCAUCUUUCGGCACACACCAACGAUUUCUGAAUCGAAGUGCACGAUCGGUCCCAAUGCCAAAUUAUCGGCACAACGGCUCUCAACUUCACCCCACACCUUUUGGAGAUAAGGAUCGGAAGCUUGUAGAUCCCUAAUCUUCUCCAACAAGGUUGCACAACCAAAGCGGCAAGUGUUGUCGGCACUUCCGACGCUACUACUUCAAGAUCAAACCGUUGCAUCUCUUUUUGCAAUGAUGGUUGGGGUGUAAUUGGCGAAGCCAAGUUUCCACCGAUUUUCUACUUAGAGCAUCGACCACGACAUUUGCUUUUCCGGGGUGAUAUAGAAUAGUAACAUCGUAGUCCUUUAGCAACUCUAACCAUCGCCGCUGUCGCAUAUUAAAUACCUUUUGGGUGAACAAGUAUUUGAAACUCUUGUGAUCCGUAUAAAUCUCACAAUGCUCACCGUACAAGUAAUGUCUCCAUAACUUUAGCACGAAUAUCACCGCGGCUAGCUCAAGAUCGUGAAUCGGGUAGUUCUUUUCAUCACUCUUCAAUUGGCGCGAAGCAUAUACAAUGACUCGCCCAUUUUGCAUCAAAACACAUCCGAGGCCAAUAUAUGAGACAUCACUGUACACUACAAAGGUCUCCCCCGGCGUCGGCAAAGCAAGCACCGGGGUCGAUGUCAAUCUUUCCUUCAAUUCCUCAAAGUUCCGAUCGCAAUCGUCACUCCAAACAUACUUCACUCCUUUGUGCGUGAGACGCGUUAGUGGAGUGGUUAUUUUGGCGAACCCCUCUACAAACCGCCGGUAGUAGCCCGCUAGUCCAAGAAAACUGCGGACCUCCGCUUCAUUUGUCGGGCGAGGCCAAUCUUUAAUUGCCUCCACUUUCUUCGGAUCCAUCGAGAUGCCAUCACCCGAUAACACGUGGCCUAAGAAAGUGACCUCCGAAAGCCAAAAGUCACAUUCCUUUAGCUUAGCAUAAAGCUAAUUUUUCGGAGUAUUUCCAACAUGGUCCUUAAAUGUUCCUCGUGUUUUUCCUCGCUCCGUAAAUAAACCAACGCGUCGUCAAUGAACACCACGAUGCAUUGAUCCAACAACGGUUGAAAGACUCGAUUUACCAAGUCCAUAAAUACUGCCGGGGCAUUAGUAAGCCCAAACGGCAUUACCGUGAACUUAUAAUGGCCAUACCGCGUACGGUAUGCCGUUUUGUGCACAUCUUUCGGCCGGAUCUUUAACUGAUGAUACCUCGAUUGAAGAUCAAUCUUUGAAUAUACCUUCGACCCUUACAACUAAUCGAAUAGAUCAUCAAUCCUCGGCAAUGGAUACUUGUUCUUGAUCGUCACUUUGUUCAACUCGCGAUAAUCUACGCAGAGUCGCAGUGUGCCAUCCUUUUUCUUUACAAAUAGCGCCGGAGCUCCCCACGGUGACAUGCUUGGCCUCACAAAGCCUUUAUCGAGCAAGUCUUGCAAUUUGGCCUUUAACUCCACUAGCUCCACCAGUGCUAUUUUAUACGGAGCCUUCAAAAUUGGCGCUACCCCGGGAAUCAAAUCAAUGACGAGCUCGAUCUCCCGGUCCGGUGGCAAUCCCGGUAACUCCGCCGGAAACAUAUUCGAAAAUUCACAAGCUACUCGGAUAUUCCCAAGUUCCGGGUGCUCCUUUUGAGUAUCUACCAUUGUUGCCAAGUAGGCCAUAUAUCCACCUUUGAUCAUUUUCCUCGCCCUCGCCCUCGCCGCCGAUUCGGUCGCCGCGAAGCGCGAGUUUUUGCAUGCACGGUAUACCAUUUCCUCUUGAUUAGGCACACGAAAUGUGAUCACCUUGCUUUCACAAUCGAUAACUGCAUAAUACUUGGAGAGCCAAUUGAUCCCCAAGAUUACAUCGAAUCCCCAUAUUUGAUCCCCAAGAUUACAUCGAAUCCCCAUAUUUGGUUUAGCACCAACAAAUCUAUUGGCAUAAUCCAAUCGCCUAUCUGAACUGGACAAGCCAAGCACUGCUCAUGCACCCUAAAUGAAUGCUCAGGUGCAUUGACCCACCAAUAAUCUGGGUUAUGUAUGAUCUCUUUGCCAUGAGUUUUUGCAAAUGAUGCACCAAUGAAUGAAUGAGAUGCACCUGUGUCGAAUAAAGCUCUAGCUCUAGUGCCAUUGAUCAAGAUAAUACCUGCCACGACAUCUCAGGAACCGCAGGCUGCUCCUCCACCUAAGUGGCAAAAAUUCGUCCACUCGGUGCUCUAGAUCCCUCCGGCUAACGCGGUGCUGAUAAGCGUCCAGCAGAUAUAGCCGGUGGUAAUCCUGCAAACUGUCUCAGGGUAGAAGGAACUGAUGCCACCGACGGUGCAGACGGUGCCCAUCUCUGGCAAUCCCGAGCAACAUGCCCUGCUUGGCCAUACUUAUAGCACUUUCCUUCGCGUUGCGGGCAACUCGGUGGUCUAUGAUCACCGCCACAAAUAACACACUGAGUCGGCCCCCAACUCCUCGACUGCUGCCAUGAAUAACGGGGGAGCUUCUUAGAAUUCGCCCGACCCUCGCUACCACCUGCAGACCGCUUCUUUUCUUUGUCCCUCUACUCGGCCAUGGACUCGCGCUCCUCUCGCACGUGGGCAUCGCCAUGCUCCGCCCACAAUACUCGAUCAAAGACUUCAACAAAGGUCGUGAGCUUGAACAGCUGCACGGCCCUAUAAACCCCAAGCCUAAGUCCUCGCAAGAACCAGUCGGCCCGGUCCCGGUCAUCUCGAACAACCUCCGGGACGCAAUCAAUGAUGUCGGAGAACUCCUACUCGUAAGCCGCCACCGAUCGAUCACCUUGCCUUAGCUUGCAGAAUUUUUCUUGUACCUCCCGCUUCACCGUGUCCGGGAAGUAGUUCGCGAACAUCACCCUCUUGAACUCCUCCCACAAUAUAGGCGGAAGAUCGGAAGACCGAUCCCGCUUUACUCAUUUCCACCACACUUUCGCCGCCUUCUCUAAACAAUGAGUGGCAAGGUGCACCUUGUCUUUUUCCGAAGUAUAUAUGUCAUCGAAGAGCGACUCUAUCGAGUCGAUCCAUGACUCCACCAUUGACGGCUCUACCUUUUUCCUGUCAAACGUAGGUAGGCUAAGAGCCGCAAGUGCACGAUCCCGCUCCGCCUCUACGGCCGCACUAUCGGAAUUUGAGGUUCCCGAUCCGGCCGGUAUCGCCGUCACUGGUACGGCCGCGACCGGCGUCGCCAUCGCCGCUACUCCCUCGACCACCAUCGGCACCACUGCAGGGGGCGCAGGAUGCUCGGCGCCCACUUGCGCCGCCGUCGCCUGUUGCCGCUUUAAGGCCUCUUGAAGCCUUUGGAUUUGCUCCCCUUGGCGCUGCAUAGACUCCGCUUGCUGUUGCACUACUCCAAUAAGCGCGGCCAUUUGCUCUCGAAGCUCCCCGUCGCCACUUGCUCCAGGUUGCGCAGGAGCCGCACUCGAUUCCUCGGGCAUAGAUCUCGUUCGGGGUCGACCACGAGGCAUUGCUUCCUGAAACAUUAUAACUCACAUUAGUUACUCAACCGAUAAACUCAAAUAUACCCAAUACCGCGAAAACAAACAAGUGUAUUUAUUUUCCUUCCAAAGCAUUAUAUCGUCGGCCGCCGAUCACAACACAAGGAAUAGAAAACAAAUAUCAACUUGAAUUUAGCCCCUAACCACAUUAGAGACACACUAACAUUAACCCAAUCACAAGCUUUCACUAUAUUUUGAUCCCACGUCACUCACGUUUCCUAGAUCCUUAAGGUUCUCAUUCCUAAGGGUCUCUAGGUCCAUCCUAUACUUUUACUUUUAGGCUCUGAUACUAUUAUAUCUGUCACGUCGAACAGACGCCGAACAGACAGCACCUCCCAUGUUCGCCCAAGGCUCAACAACAAAUACCGAGCAAGUAUAUAAAUUGCAUAACGGAAACAUAAUUAUACUUUGCUUGCACAAGGGUAAGCAAUAGCCAAAAGUGAAAGUACUAAACUAAAUCAUAUACAAGUACAAUGAUUAACUUUUAACCGCAUACAAACAUUCAACCACAAGUUAUAUUUACUUUUCAUCAUUUCUUUUACAUCACGUAUCCCCAAAAUAGGCCUUUACAUUUAACAUCUUUAAUACAUUUGCAUCACUCAUAUAACUCUAAUCAUCAAAAUACAAAAGAUGAUAUAUAUAAAAAAGGUAUGUAACUACUCAAAAUAGAACCCGCUCGGGUGGUCUCUGUCUAUGGCGCGAUACCUUUACCGCGAUCGUCGGCCGGCUCACUCGGCCCUGGCUCUGUGGAAAUAGUGGGGUGAGAACUACAACAAAGUUCCUAGUGGAUUCGACCGCCGACCUCGCCGACUUUCCAACUAGGUUUAAAUCAGGCAUAAUAGAAAGAUAGAUAGAUAGUAACCAAUUAACAAAUGCAGCUAAUAUGCCUGAACAAUAUAAUAAAUGAUUAUGCUCAAUAGAAUGCUCAUAAUGAAUGCAAGGAUUACUUUCUAAUUUUCGGUACUUUUGGCUAACUAGUAGAUUUCACCUCAAUCAUCAAGUAUUUCAAUUCUCGGUACUUUUGGUCAACCCGUAGAUUUUGCCUCAACCAACCACUUGCCAACCCAAAUCCCUGGUAUCCGGGAGAUACUCGCUACAACCCGACGGGACCGUCCUCUGGGGAGAUACUCGCUACAACCCAGUGAUGACUACUCCAGAACUCAUUGCUCAUGGGAGAGCUACCACCCACCGAGCCAAGACUUAUAGGUGAGUAUGAUCAAUCCUUAACUUUAAGGAUACCAAAUUCAAUCCCAUCCUUCGCUAUGAGCAUGCUAUGCUCAUAUGACCCUUAAUUUUAAGGUUCCUAUGUCAUAAUGUCAACUAUCUCUCUUUACUUGCACUCUUUAACUUACAUUAGUGUCAUUUACACUACUUGUUCUUUAUACUCAUUUAUGUGCAUUCAUUAAUGCCACACACACUAAGUAUUCAACUCUAGCAUUUAUUGUUUACUAAUGCCACACAAUCCAUAUGUCACAAUGUCAUUUUGUUCUUUACCUCAUCUAGGUCUUUAUCACCAUUCAUGCAUACAUAGGGUUUCACAUGUUAUCAAUAGCUCAUAAUAUCUCAAAGGCAUCUUAUACUCAAAGCAUGCAAUUAUAUACAUUCUACUCACCCUACAAUGCAUGAAUAAAGUAUACAUACAUAAGCUUAAAAAUGACACUUUAGACAUAAAAAAAAAUUCAAUGAUUUCGGAAGGCACCACCCACCUUGUAUGGUUGUAAAGGUUCUACGGUUCAAAUCUCGAAAUUUUUGGGCUCCUAUUUUCUCGCCUGCGGCAAAACGAAGCCGACUUAGGCUUUUUGCUCAUAACUUUGCAUAGACUCUUCGGAUCGGCGAACCGAGUCCAUAAACGAAUUAGAAAUACUCCCAAUUUGAUUUUUAUAAGGUCAAUUUGCCUUAAAACCAACCCAGAACAAAAGCCCUAAUUUUCGUACCCUAACAAUGUCAUUUCUCCAAUACCUUGGUUUGAUAUCUAAAACUAGCAAAUGCAAGCUUGUUGAACCUCUAGGAACUCAUCUAGAACCAUUUCUAGGUCAUUCAAACCAUCCCUAGGGCAUAUAAACCGAACUCUAGAAAUCCAUCAUGAGAGCAUAUGAAAAAAACAUGAUUUUCAUGUGUUCCAUGGCCUCUACUAGAUUUUUACACUUGUAAGUAGAUCAAAACCAAAGAUCUUGGGUAUAAAACCAAGCCCUAAGGUCAAUCUUACAAGAAACCUUACCUUAACCCACUAGCUCUCCAAUGUCCACCUUGUAGGAGAGACCUAAACCUUCAAAAGCUCCAAAUCUCCUCCAAAAUCCUCUCUAAUCUCCUCCUUGCCACCUUAGGGGAGAGCUUCUAAAGAGGGAGAUGGAGAGAAAUGAGAGAGAAGGGGUGUUCUCAGCUGGGAACAAGAGAAAAGAGGGGUUCGGGUCUUAUAUAAGUUGCUAUAAUAGCAAAUAGACCCUCAUUCUUUUCAUAUUUGCAGCAGACUGCAGCUGCAGUUUAGGGCAUUGCGUACAGUUCUACUCAGAAGUGUCACCGGUUACACAAUUACGCAGAGGCCAACCCGAGAGCUGCUUCUCUCGGUCAGCAGUCGGUACCGGUAUCAAUUAAAUUUGUCACCGGUUUAACAGCUUGACAGAGGCUAACCCGAGAGCAAUUCUGCUUUCGGUUUCUGUAGUGUACCGGUGACUCCCCUGGGCUGUCACCGGUUCAACAAUGCUCCAGACUUGAUUAUUGCAUUAAUUCGACUCCGUUUCGCGCCGAGCAAUGCUAAAACCUUUUUAACUCUUUUAGAAUUCAACUUUAACCUUUCCAAUAUCGUUAGAAUGUUAAAUGGACCUUGUCCAACUAUUCGUUUCGCACACUUUAAUCAAUUUGACUAAAAUCCGAUAUACUCUAUCGAGGUUUCGAUAUAUUACAUUACUUUUUUGGGAGACGGGGCAUCACAGCUGGUAUUGAAGCCAAUCACUAGCCAAAAGUAUGAUAUAAGCCUCAGCUUAAUUAGAGUCGUAUAGUGUGUAGAAUAUGGCUCUCCCUAGUGUUAUGGGUAGAGCACCGCUCCCCAUAAAGUCAACUAAGCCUACUGAGACAAAUCUCACAUCGUCUGGUGUUUGUAAGCGUGUUUUAGCCUAAUAAGGACGUUAGAAUUUAAAGGGGGAAAGAAAUAUAAUACCCCUAGGAUUAGGAAUAAUCUUAUAUAUUAGAUAUAAUAAGGAUAAGCUUUUUAACCCGGCUAUAAUAUUUUGAGUGGUGGCUAGGCCAAAGAGUAACAAGGGUUAAGCGUGCUAGAAUUAGAGUGGUUAUAGGAUCGGUGACCAUCAUGGGAAGCGAUGCGUCACAUAUUCAAAUUAAACAAAUUAAAAGGUUAGAUAGUAAAAUCAAAAUUUCGAAAUAUUGAGUAACCAAAUCAAGAUUGCUCAUUUUUCAAAUAAGUUUAUAUACUUUCACAUUUUAGUAAAUAAAACUUUACAAGUCAACAAGUACGAAAAAAAUACUACCUUGGGAUGUAUGAUGUACACUUUAACCAUCUAAUGGGUGAGGUUUAUUUACUUGUCACAUGAUGUGACUAAUAAAAUAACCUCAAUCAUUAGAUGGAUGAGAUGUAUAUCAUACACCCAAAAAUGAUGUAUGAAAAGCGUUGCUUCAACAACUACUACUUCACUAGCUAGAGAGCUAUUAAAUUUGAGGAAAUUUUGAAUUAAGUGAGAAUAGAAAUUUAAAUAAAAAGAUAGAAGCUGAUGCAGAAUGAGUAAAAUACAGCACGAAAUUAAGAGGUCCAUUUCAAAUGGCCAAUAUUAAAAUGGCCAAUACUAAAUUUAUUUUCUAAUCGUUGUCAUGUAUUACAAUUUAGUCUUUGGCUAAUUAAAAAAAUAAGUACUAAACGAUGGAAACGAAUUUAGGCGCAUUGAAGAAUUCGUAAAACAAACCGAAAUCAGAUUCAGAGAUAAUUAUAUUAAAAUAUAUGAAAUUUAUGUGAAUUUUAUAAAAAAUUUUCAUAAUAUUUUACAAAAACUAUACAAUUCAAUGGCUGAAUUUUAAUCUUGAAAUUAUAAAUAAUACUAAUCUUCUCGUGAUUUACACUUUUUUACCAAUUAAAUAGUGUCACUAUACUAGUUUGUAAAUUUAUUGUAAAUAUAACAUUAUUCAAAAACUAAAAGACAACCAAAUUGUAAUAUCAAUAUUGGUGGGAGGCGGAACGCUCGGAUCAUGGCUAAUGGACACAUACACAAUUCUAAACUCCCAAUUCAUAUCUCUUUGUUGAUUAUUGAUUAUUGAUAUCAAAAUUAAUUAUUGAUGAUUAUUGAUAAGAGGUUGGGCCAUCCUUACCAAUGGAUUAAAAUAUAGAAGAACCCUCUAAACUUUAACAUUUGUGCAAAUAGAUAUAUAAACUUGUAAUUUUGUCAAUUAUACUGUUUAAAGUUUAUUAAAUAAUUUAAAAUAGAUUUCUUUCCUAAAUUGAAGUUACUAAUAACUAAGUUAUUUUGGUCGCUCGUUUGAAAAUCUGAAAUAAGAUUUUCUUCUCUUCUAACAUGUGAUAAAAGUAAUGAAAAUGGAAGAUUAUGCAUCUGCAAAACACGUGAUUCAAAUGGCCGUUCGAUUUGUAAAUUUACUUGAGGGAAGGUACCAAUUGACCUAUAUAUUCAAUAAACUUUAGAGGGUUUUAUUGCCAAAAACUAAAUGUUGAGGGGUUUAAUUGCAAAAAGUGCUGCAGUUUAAGAGGACUAUGGUCGAGUUUAAAAUUGCCCCUUCAACUUCUACUUAUUUCAUUUAUACACCGUACUAUCCAAUUAAUUGUCUUAAUUAGACUUCUCUUCCAGUAAAAAAGUUAGAAACUUUUUAUGUUCGAUCUCAAUUAUCAAUAACUAUAUAGAGUAACGAGAGACACAGGAGCAGCUGAGAUUUAAAACAACAGCGGCAACAAUAAAAAACAAUAAUGGCAAUAGACUUCAGAUAUAAAUGAAAGUUCAGCUCCUUCUCACGACAACAUUGUGUUGUCUCAAUUACUUUCCUGCUUUACAUAGGUUUUACACAUUCAUCGAUUAUUAAGACGUAAAAAUAUAUUUUUUUUCUCUUUUUUUUUUUUUUUUGACAGAUAGGUAGCAUGCUACCCGCUUCAUUUAUUUCAUUUAGAAAUAAACUUAGCUGGAAAUGUAAAUCAACUAGGAUUCGAACUUAGGUCUCGGAUACCAAUCACCAAGCCCUUUGCCACUUGCUCUAGAGACGGUCGGUACGUAAAAAUAUUUUCUAAUUAUCUUAUUGGUGCAGGAGCAUACCUAAAACAAGUUGAUAAAAGGUAUAAAUCAAAACAAUAAGGGAUUAUUUGGUUCAUCUAUUUUAAACUCUGAUAUCUAAAUAAAAUUCGCAAACUCGGAUAGCUGUACAUUGUCUAUUUUACAGAAAUCGAAUUUUAAUUCUCAUUCCAUUCUGAAAUGAAAAUGAUCCGCUCUAUUAGUAGCUCAAUUUGACUUUGAACUCUGAAUUGACGCAUUCAAGACUAAACUACUCAAAACUCUCUCACAAAUAUUUUCCUCUCAUGUUCCGUCAUCAUUCUGUUCUCAUUUGAUCAAAACAUUCUCUCAAAUCCUAAAUGACCCAAAUGUUCAUUCCAAUCCAAUAAUAAAUAAAAUAUUUAUGGAUCAUUCGUAUUCUACUUUCUAUUCUAAUGCAUUUUAAUUUAAUUUUCUAUACACAUUCUAAUCAUGAAUCAAACAUAUUCUAAAAACUAGUUAUGUACAUUUUUGGUUAUCAACAUAUGAGUCACGUGACAUUUUAGUUCUUAAAUUUUAAUAAGUCUGGCUUAAAUUAUGAGGUACGUAAUAUUUUAGUCACCAAACUUUAUAAACUAAAGUAAUAUCGUAAUUGAUAAUACAAUAAUAAUUAAGAUAUUACAUCACUUCGAUAUCAAUAAUUCGUCAAUACUUAUUCAAAAAAAAUUUGAAUUGUGAGAAUUAACUAUAAUAACUAAAAAACUUUGAGAAUUAAAGUAUCACACACACCUUAUAGUUUGAACCAGAAAUUACAACUAAUUAAAAUUUAAGGACUAAAGCGUCAUAUGUCUCGUUGUGCGAGCCAAAAAUUGCGACGAGUUAAAUUUCGAAAACUGAAGUGUCGCGCUAACGGUAGUUUGAGGAUCAAAAACACAGUUUACCUUGUUGGAAAAGUUGAGUGAAGGUGAAGCAUUUUCAAACUGAGGUACAGAACAGGAGUCACCUACGUUUUGCUCAGCAUUAAUAAUAAGUUGGGGUGGGCUGGUGGUGCCCGGUGGACUGUGAAUGAAUGCCGCAAGAAAGCGGCUCGUUUUGGUUGGAUUGAUUGACGGGCGAUGGCGAUGUCAAGGAGGACAGAUCCAACGGUGGCUGGCUGAGGUAGGCUCAUCGGGCGGCUGAGAUUGGUCGUGCAGUGGUCACAAUUGGGGCAAUUAAUAAGCUGAUCCACCUCCCACCAGCCUGCGUGGUAUCUUCCUCGCUAAUUAAUUUGAACCAGGUGUCCAAUUAAUAAUUAGAGCCUUUUUAAAAAAAAAAAAAAAAAGAAUUUCUUGAUUUAUUUUCAUUUGGUUUCAUUUAUUGGGUUAAAAAUAUAUACGUGCACGGCACCGUCUGCUUCGCACUCGUCCGUCGCGGUCACUGCUACCGUUGUAUAUUUAUUUAUAUUGAAUUUAUGGCACAACUUAGACUGCAUGAGAUAAUUAAUAAGAGAAUGAGACUUAUUAUAUAUAAAUAAAUGGAUUCAUAGCUAUUACAUUUAAGCUUUGACAUCGUAUUGAUGAAUUUUAUUUGACAUGUCAUUUUCUUAAAUAUGUGUGGGCUUAGGUCCGAUGNACCACACCAUCGACAAUGUAGGCAUUAAGUCAAGGAUUGGGGACCUUUAAUUGUACCAAAAAAGUAAAAAAUAAAAAUUACGAGGCUUCUAAAGUUUUUAAUAAUACAUAAUUUAUUUUUACAACUCAUAAAAGUUGUACGUACUGGUUGUUUCUAUGAUUUUUAGAACCAAGCAAUUAACCCUAAUUCUGAGCCUCUAUAAUUAUUAUUAGUUGAUUCCUCUUGUUACUAUUCAACUGAUGAUCAUAUGAGAGUCAUUCCCGCUCUUAAUUAGAUGCAGUUUAAGUCACGCCAUGUCUAUUAAAAUCUAUCUAGUAAUUAUUGCGACUGUUCAGAGUUUUCAUUCAGACUUCUCCGUUGGCUAAUUUUCAGUCAGCAGAAAAAAAAAAAAAAAAAAAAAAAAAAAAAAAAAACAGUUUAAUCGAUUUUUUCUUCAAUUCCUUCUCUAUUAUCUUCUAUAUAUUUUUGGGUCAUAUAUCUUCUAAGGACUCUCUUUUCUUUGAUAUCUGUUAAGAUUUUUGGAUCUCCUUCAAGAUCUUUUAGAACUCUCGUGAUGAUCGAAUUUAAGAGUUAUUCUCUGUGUUUGGACUAGAGUUGGAUGUUGUUGAAGAUUUGGUGCUUGAUAUGAAAUUUGAAUAUCUUUUAUUUCUUUUUUUUUUUAUUUGGGCUUAAUGUUGGAGUUUUUUUUUAUUUUUAUUUUUUUGAUUAAACAGGGAUUGACCCUAUUUGAUAGAGAAUGUUGGAGUUUCAAUUUACUUUUUCUUCUCUGGAUUGAGAACUAACAUCAAAUUAUUUUCUUUUUCUUUUUCUUUUCCUUUUUUUCUAUCUUCGUAUUGAUUGGGGAUCGGCAAUAGAUAGAUUCCUAUUAUUUUACUUUGAUUAGUGUUGAAUCCAACGUCUGAACUUUUUUUUUUUUUCUUUGGUUUAUUUUGAUUAGGUUAGAAAUCGUCAUCAAUAUCUCAUCCUUUGUAGUUUGUAAAGAUGGAGUGUGAUUGCUUUCCAGUUAGAAAAAGUAGCUGUUUGGCCCGGCACUGUUUGGGGCGGCCAAACUGCACUGCCAACGAUGCAAAGUCAGGCCAAACUGCACUAGCCCCCAUAAUGCGCUGUUUGGCAUCGGCUGCGAGCUGAUUUUUUUGACCGCUGACUCGGUCGAAACCCUCCUUUCGGAAAGUGCGCGAGGAGGUGGAGUGGCUAUGAAUGAUGACUUUCGAAACUUACGCCCACUGUCGAAUCAAGUGAUUCGACUAAUGAGGGAUCGGAUUAGGGGGUGUAUGGCCUAGCUUUUAAAAAGCGCUUUUGGGCUGAAAAGUGAUUUCCGGCUCAAUAAAUUAUUUGGCAACUCACUUUUAAAAUCUGAUUCUACUUUUUAGAAUCAGAAAACUCAUUUUGAAGACUCCAGAAUCAGAAGCAGUAAAAAGCUGUUUCUUGAAAUCUGAUUCUGAUUUUAGAUUUAAACUUUAAAUUUUUAUUUUUAUUUUAAUUUCAAUAUUUAAAUUUAAAUUUAAUUUUAAUUUUUAAAUUUCAUAUUCAUUUUUGAAUUUUUAAAUUUUAAAUUUUAAAUUUUAAAUUUUGAAAAAUAGAUUUCAAAUUUUAAAUUUUAAAUUUUAAAUUUCAAAUCUCAAAUUUUAGAUUUUCAAAUUUCAAAUUUCAAAUUUCAGAUAAAAUUUAAAAUCUGACAUUUUAGAUUUUAAAAUUUAAAUGUAAAAAUUUAAAAUUUUUAAAUUUUAAAUUAUAANGCUACUAUAGUUAUAUGCGUCAACCAGACGAUAAGUCCAAAUAUACCCAAUCUGAUGCUGCUAUAUUGGUCUGCAGACCUCAAGCGUUGCCUGUCAUAGAGCAGACACUGCGAGCUUAUUCAUGCGUCACCGACAACCUAUCCGGAUACGUACACCCCUUGGUUGGAGGCCAAACCAACCUGGUGUCUAGAAUACACAGUGCUGUGACUAGAUCAUGCUGAUAUGCUCAAACGAAACCCGGCUAAAGCCGGUGCCUAGGCUGAAGCCAGAAACCAGGGCGUACAACGCCGAACCUCGAUCAACCAGAUCGAAACACAUGACGAGAGAGUCGAUGUGUUACUUGGACCCAAAGUCCACAAAGUCCAACCGACCAGCAAGGUCACUGAUACGAAGAACAAGAACCGACCAACCAGGUCAACAGAUAUAGAAUGCAACAACCGACCAACCAGGUCAACAGAUAUGCAUAUAGAUAGAAUUACUCUACUCCUACUCAGGAUACUAAGCAUGCAAACAAUGAGCAGAGUAUAAUGGAAUAAUAUGGGUGCAACGCUCAAUAUGUACUAUGCAAUAGUAACAAUAGCAGAGUAAGGGUAAGAAACUAUCACCGAGCGUGCACCACUGUACCGACGUCGGAUCGAAGUAUCCACCUGUCACUGUCGCGUCGGAACACUGGGUAUGCACAAGUCAACCGGACCUACGAAGAUCCACCAGGUCAGUAUCUAGCCCACUAACCCAAAGCACGAGACUCACAACCUCCACAAAAGAUCCCUGUAAUCGGUUUCCCAAAACCAAUCACCGUAACUCACCGGAAGUCCUGAAAACUACACUGGGACGCCGUCGGGACCCACUAAGUGUCCCGAAACUUGCCGAGCGUACCACGAGUCACCCGCUGCCACAAAACACUCCUGUUUGGAUGUCUUGGCAGCAAACACAAGAUAACACCGCUACACAAUUAUUGCCGGAUAAUUGUACGAAUCCGGGCUCCCGAAAGUGUCUAUUUCGACACCGAAACCCACCGUCGCUCACCCAUCAUCACCGAACCCACAAAAUGAUGAUGGUGACCAGCCAACAAGGCUCAGCAAUAAUUUACAGGAUAACCAAACCACGUCGGAAGAAAUCCGAACCGAAACCGCGUUCUUUCGGCGAAUUUCGCCGAAAAAUGCGCCGGAAUCGACUUUUCAAUUUUCGCAAAAGCUAUCAGAUCAUGGACAAUCAGUCCGAAGGUCACCACACACACCAAUGCACUGCCCACAGUAGCCACAAGGUGUACAAAUGCAUAAAAGUCCCUAUGUUUACAUAAAAUCCAUCAUUUUAUGUAAAUCGGGCGACUUCUAUGGCUCGUUCUCACAAACCAAGAACUUCUAAGUUCCGCCGAGGCACGUACUGACAGGUAUCGACAUGCCGGAGGCCGUGCUCACAAUCCGGAGGGCAACGGCUCACUGUGGGAAGCGCGGGAGCAACCCGAAUGUUCAGUGAAUAGCGCGCAGUCGGGGGAAAUCGCACCGAACAGGCCGAUAUGACAUCCGCUGAUCCAAAGUAAGGUGAGCACUAUGAUCAGCACUGACCAACGAUCACCGUGCUCACCUCCGGAGGCAUCGGAAUAGCCUCGAAUCACCGAAAAAAUGCACGCAAGCACGGAAUAGCAGCCGAAAAGGCUUAAUAGGGUCGACACCGCCGAAACAGCGAAACGGAGUCUCCCCGACAAAAUAUAAGGUGAGCACGAUGAUCAGAAAGUUGCCACGAUCACCGUGCUCCCUUCCUCAGAGGUCGGGGAGCCUCGGGUAGCUCGGACCAGCAAACCUACUCGACUAAGCCCUAUUUCGGGCUUGGCCGGAGCAAGCUUGCUCCGGCCGGCCACCGGCGGCACGGAGGGUUGCGCGCGGGCCAGGGAAGGUUGCGGGGGAGGUGAGGAGUACCAAGCUCACCUCGGGUGGCGGCUGGAAGCAGCGGCGGCGGCGGUGGAAAAAGGCAAGCCCACACGAGCUAGGACACGGGUCCAGGGGCUGCUGCGGCCACGGGCAGGUCGGGGACGUCGGCGGCGGGUCCCCAGAGGCCAGAGGGGGAGGAGGAGGCGGUGGGCGACGGCGGCGGCAGCCCGCGGCUCGGGCGCAACCGCGCCGAGCUUGGCUCAGUCUUCAGCCCUGGGCGGCAGCGCCCAAGGCGCGUGGCGGCGGCGGUGACCCUUCCGGCCGGGGGAGGGGGUGCCGGAGGCCGUGAUGGAGAUCGCAGGGGUGGACAAGGGCGGCUGCGGCGCGGGGGUGAAGCUACCAGGUCUGCUCGGCCCGAGCAGACCUGGGGCGGCUGUAGGAUGGCCGCGGCGGCGGCGGCGGCCCGCAGGGGCGGCGGCGGUCGGCCGGGGAUAGUCGCCGGGGCUCCAGGGGAAGCACUAGAGAGGAGAGCAACCUCGGGCUUGCCCCUAACCUGAGAUAAAGAAAGGUUGAAGGAGAGAGAGAUGGAGAGGGAGGAAGACAAUGGCUCGGCGGCGACCGGGGCUCAGCCGCCCACGGCCGGGGGCGUGCGGCUAGGGCAGGGGAGCGAGGUGAAGGUGGCUGGGGCGACUAGGGUUAGCUAGGGAUGGCUAGGGUUAGGUUCCAAGGUAGACAACCCUAGGUACACUAUAUAUAUAAGGUGCAAAUUGCGGAAAAGCCCAUCAAACUUCAGUAUUUAAUACUGAGUCCCUCACAGCGCGUGUAAAACACGCGAAUACCCCUCCACGUACGAUCUCACGCAAAACGGUACAUAAAAUGUCGCGACUUUCGCGAAAAUACCGUUUUGCCCUCACCGACCUCUUCUCAUCAACGCACGAUCUCCGCAGAUCCGUCCGUCAGAUUUGCGAACGGAUCGCACCAAUGCGAUCAGCACGAUGGAGACAACAAAUUCACAAUUUCAUUUCGCCUCGAUCCUUCACGGAUUCGCGACGAAAUCCGAUCCAUCUCUCCAACAGAAGAACUACGCACAAACACGUAUUUUCGGAUUUUCUCGAAAUUCGUGCGUCAAACUCAAAAUCCGUCAGCUCCAUCGGUUCUAGAAUAACCAAACCGUUCGAAACGAGCUAUUGGACUGCUAUGAACGAAGUCCGAUACGCGCCAGAAGCCAACUUCGCACCGUGGCUUCUCCGGAAAACUGAGUUACUAUUCACUUUAAGUGAAACUUGGAGAUCGCGUAAAAUCUCCGUUCUAACUCGAUUUCUCCUGAAACUUGACGAGUUCUUUUGUUAUUAAAUUACACACAAAACAUCGUCAACUGAGAGUUUAGCUACACUGCCAAAAUCUCGGUCCUUACACAGCACUGCUGAUCCCUCAAUGUUUGUUUGUCAUUCUUCCUCUGGCACUCUUGUUCUCCUCUUGAAUGUUGAUGAUAUUAUUGUCACCGGUAGUUCCUCAUCUCUUCUCGAUGCUCUUAUCAUUACUUUACAACGCGAAUUUGCCAUGAAGGAUCUCGGACCGCUGCAUUAUUUUUUGGGUAUUGAGGUUCAUCUUUCUCCCUCUGGUCUUCAUCUAUCUCAACAAAAAUAUGCGCAUCAAUUGCUUCAGCGACAUGGUUUUCUUGAUAGUAAGCCCGUUUCUACUCCUCUUUCGCCAACAUCUCGUCUUUCUUCCCAUGAAGGGCAUCUUCUUGAGGAUCCAUACACUUAUCGUCAGAUCGUUGGUGCUCUCCAGUAUCUCACUUUCACCAGGCCGGACGUUUCAUAUGCCGUCAACUCUGUUGCCCAGUAUCUUCAUGCACCUCAUGAACCACACAUGCAAGCAGUCAAAUGUAUUCUGCGUUAUAUUCGGGGGGCGCUGACUUAUGGCCUUCCUAUCUCUCACUGCGACAGUCCUUCUCUUGUGGCCUUCGCUGAUGCUGAUUGGGCUGGUUGCCCAGAUACAUGUCGCUCUACUUCUGGAUAUUGCAUUUUUCUUGGGCCAAAUCUUAUCUCCUGGUCCGCUAAGAAAUAACCCACCAUUUGUCGUUCUAGUUCUGAAGCAGAAUAUGGUGCUGUAGCCUACACACUUGCUGAGACAGUCUGGAUUCGUCGUCUCCUCGUGACCUUCGUGUUUUCUUAUGGCGCUCUAUCAGUAUUUAUUGCGAUAAUCUCAGCACCACCUAUCUUGUGGCCAAUCCUGUUCUCCAUGCUCGCACGAAGCACAUUGAACUUGAUCAUCAAUUUUUGCAGGAAAAAGUUCAGUCUGGUGAUUUGGCCUUAAUUUAUAUCCCUUCUGACAAGCAACUUGCCGACAUUUUCACCAAGCCCCUGUCAUCCUCUCGGUUUUCGAUAUUGCGGCUCAAUCUUCACAUCCGACCACCGAAUGCUUAGCUUGCGGGGGGAUGUUACGAUAUAUUUUAUCUAUAUUAGGAUGUUACGAUAUAUUUUAGCUAUAUUAGGAUAUUGUGCAUUAUUGCCUUAUAUAGAGUAGUAUCAUUGCCUUUUAUAGAGUAGGAUUAUAUAGUAUGUAAUCCUAGUUAUACUCUUACUAUAGUAGUCAUUGUUACUAUAGUAAGACAAUCUCUUGUACUAUAUAUUCGUUAAUACAACUCAAGAGGGCAUGCACUUUAGCCCUUCUUUCAGUUAGAUUAAGCGCCUAAGUGGUACUUUGAUCUAGGCUUGUACGGCCCAUGGAGUGGGAGCUCCGCCAUAACAUAUAUAUCAUUCUGUAUACACUUGUCGAUUAGUUAGUACAAUGAUACAAGUUCUCCCCUCUAUGUCAUUGUGUGAGCAAUAAACCUUUUUUGCUCUCGACUUAGAACUGCAUUAUGAAGUAGAGGUCUGAUGUAACUAACAUAACAUAUAUCUCAAGGUCAUGAGAAUACGAUCUCACGGAGCAAGUCUAGUAAAAUGCUUAGACCGACAUAAAUUAAUGUGACAAGUUGCGGAAGAUAUUUGGAUAGCACACAUAUAAGUCUUGUAACUCAUUGCUCGGGUGGUUAAUUAUCUCAGUUGUGUUGCUUGAGAUAAUUAUGAAUAGGAGAAAUGAUUGUGGGAUCGAGCUCUAUCGUUACUGGAGACGGAUUUGUGAUGCUUGAUCCGGUGUGUAUUGAGAUAUCUAGGACAUAGAGGAAUUUAGUCAAUGAUGUGUUACAUUUGUUGGAUGUUGAAAUAAUAUAGCACUCCUAUAUUACGCUUUUUCGUCAAGUCGCAUGCCUCAUUACCUUUAUGAUGAGUAAAAUGUAUAAGAGAAAAUUGGUCAAUAUAGCCAAGUGGGGGAUUGUCGCCAUGUGAUAUGUCCAUAUUGGUCGGUUAUGUUUCAUCCCUAUCCAAAUGAGAUAUGGAUUAUUAUUUAUACUAAUAAGUUAAAGAUAUGAAUAAAUUAUAUGUUUCUUAUUUAUUAAGAAAUGAUCUUCUAAUAUCCUAAUUGAUAUUUUUAUCCUUAUCUCUAUAUGAGAAUCAGGAUAUCUAUUCUUAUCUUUAUCUCUUUGUGAGAAUUAGGAUAUUUUAAGGGAGAUUUAGACACGACGUUCGAUCGAAGAUCCAGAAGGUCGUCGUAGAUCGAGGAUGCUAUAAGACGAGUACGACAAUCUGAUAAGUUCUUCUGCUGAAGCUACGACAAGUAUAAGGUUUUAUAGCAGCUUUGCCUACACUUCUAAAUAUUCAUUAAUUGCUAACAUAGUAAGACUCAAAAAAUUAGGACACUGCCCUUCACAGCCAUCUUUACAAAGCCAAAGAAAGAAUAGUACCAAACAUUUAUUAUGGUCUGCAAGUAACAACAAACAUCCUUUAUUACAAAUCAAUUCUCUAAGCACAUUUAAUCCAAUUAACAAACACCAAUAAUAGCAACAUGGGGACUAGCAAUUUCUACUUCUUAGGGAUUGUCACACUUAUCAUCAUCUCAAACACACCUUUGAUCUCCUUGUAGGGUGACAUGAUCACCACCAACCCUUCAUUAUUAGAAGAAAAGGAGGAAGGAGAUACCAUAUGGUAUGACACAUGAACCGGCUUAUUUCCUUGUGUUAGUACCAACUCCUCAAUCCCCAACUGGUCCCACUGCGCCACCUUAAUCGAGCUGUCCAAUCGAAGAUCGACAGGUGGUGACGGUACCUCCGCCCUUCUGCAUGAUUCUAUCCUCAAGUCCUUGGGAAUACUAUUGCCGUAGUUGAUCAUGAGACAGAAUUUGUCCACUACUUUACUGUUGACUCUCCCUGCAGCUUCCUUCAGGCAAGCAGAGGCGAUCGCCUUGUAGGGCAAUUCGUCUCGGCCUUUAUUGUAAGAUAUAUUGAAUAAAAUAGUGGCGGUAUUUUCAGCAGCGGAAUCAAAGGGGAUAGAUUUGACGUGCUUGGGAUGGGUGGGCGUCUGGAAAUAGCCCAAGUGGAAAAUUGAGGUUUUCGUAAGGAGGCCUUGGGCUAGCAUUUGGGUUUGGAUUUCAGCCCAUGAUUUGAGGAAUUCGAUUAAAAACAAAGGGUCAGCUAAGAGGAGGCUACAGCUGAUUCCAAUAGCAUAUCCAUCGCCUUGAAAUCGUGUCACCUAUAAAAAUAAAUAAAUAAUUGAUUAAUCGAGUAACAUGUGAAAUUCAAGUGCAUUAAUUAUCUUUUGAUGUGAUACAUAAUGCCACUUAAUUGUACUACUAUACCAAGCUAAGAAAUUAGCUGAGAAAUCCCUCGCAUAAACCAUAUACAAAAGAAAAAAAAAAAAAAAAAAAAAAAAAAAAAAAAAGGAGGAAAAAUGUAGUAAUUUGUAUAUUGUACCUAUGUACAUACAUAUACGCACUGUGUAUUUGUUUCUUGAUGCUUAUACAAGUGCUACUUGCAAGAUAUUAAUGCAUAUUAAUUUUUGAAUGAUAUAAAUUUUAGUUUUGAUGCUACAUGUUAUACAAUCACUUUUUAGAGUUGUUGGUUCAUAUUUUUAUAGACAAAUUAGAUAUUUUUCAUAUUCCAAAUUAUAUCCUCUCCUAAAAAGUACAAGAGAAUAAUCCGCACUUUACUAUUAGAAGAUAAUAUUCUAAUAAAAGAAUUAUGUAAUUUUGAACUUCACAUAUGAAAGUUACUUCACAGAUAAAACCUUUACUUUUUAUGCAUGUCAUAUAUUGGUAACUAUCUAAUUCUUAUGAUAGUUCUAUAAAUUAUAUUUUAUAAAUUUUAUAUAAUUAGUACAUAAAAAGUGCACGAUAUUAAGGGAUUUAUUUGUAAGAAAUUAAUCUACAAUUUUAAAUAUUUAAAAGUUAACUACGAGGGUAAAACAGUCAAAUCCGAGCUAUCAAAAUUUGAAGUAGAAGUAUUAUCGUAAUUUUAUUUUAUUCUAAGAAAGAUAUACAGCCUAUGAAAGAUAUAUAUAUAUGUAUAUAUACAUACAGAGUAGGGCUAUGAUACUAUUAUGAGUAUUGCGUCAUUCGUACUCAUAAGUUGUUUUCGAUGAUGGAGCUUCCGAAUCGACGAUCCACUCCGUUAAAUAUGAUCUAGAGUAUUUGAAACUUCUAAAAAAUAAAUUUCGUAACUUUUCGAAAUCAUAAUAAAGUCCAUCAAGCGGGCAUAAAAUGAAUGGUCAAAAUCGAACAAUGUCUUAAAAGUGGAUGAUCGGAUCCUUUAAUUUAAGAUCGGAGUUAUUGAUCUUUAUCUAGGUAGUGAAUAGAAUUUUCUAUCAAAAAUUCAACCUAUUCGGAUUCUUUUGCACCGUUAAACUAGCAAGUAUUCCAUACCAGCCGUUAAAAAUUGUCAAUUUUGUGAUCGUAAGGUAAAUGAUAUCGAAAAAUUAUGAAAUUUGAUUUCUAGAUGUUUCAAAUGCUCUAGAUAACAUUUAACGGUGGGGAUCUUCGAGUCGGGAAACUCUUAUCACGAAAUAACUUAUGAUACCGAAGGAGCGGUCGUACUCAUAAUCAGUAUAGUAGCCGGACUCUAUUACGCAUAAUAAACAUACAUUAUAAUAUAUAUUAUAGAUAUAUAUAUAUGAUAUAUAUAUUAUAUAUAUAUAUAUAUAUAUGUAUAUACAGUAUAUGUUAUAGGCUGGCGCUAAAUAAUCUUAUGGAGUUAGAACCACUUGUACUCAUAAAUUUGUUAAACCGUUGAUUGAUGGAUGGGGUUGCUAAGGUGGCGAUUGAUGAUGUCCCACUUAGAAUGAUAGUGUUUUCCUAGGGUUGAGGGGUAGUUGGCUGGAUAGUAUGAUCGAACGGCGUGAAGAAUGGAUGAUAGAAUAAUCUAACAGGGAUCGAAACUUAUGGCUGCGUUGUUCGGCGUAUAAGUAUAGAACUGCUUUGUUCUUAGGGAUAGGUACAAGUGCAGGUGAUAAGCAGGCAACUAGCACCAAUUUUGCGUUUGGAUGAAAAUUGGGUUUCCUUAGGAAUAAGCUAAAUAGUGUUUGGAUGCGUUAGAUUGAAACAAGAGGAAGAAGGUUAUAAUUUGAAAUUAAAAUUAUAUUAUGCUAAUAUACGUAAUAAAAAUAUUACUUAAAAAAUAAAUUAGAAAUAUAAUUAUUAAUAUUAUUAUACAAUAAUAAUAUAUUAUUAAUAAUUAAUUAUAAAUAAUAAAUUAAUAUAUGGCAUUAUCUAAUUAAUAUAUCUAAUAAUUAUUAUUAUUAAUAAAUAAUAUUAUUAUUAGAUUAUUCUUAUUAAUUAUUAUAAAUAAUAAAUAAUAAUAUAUGGAUUAUCUAUUAUUAAUAUUUAAUUCAUAUUAAUAUUUAUUUAAUAAUAAUAUGAAUAAUAAUUUAAUUGAUAAAAAUAAUAAAUGAAUAAUAUAUCCAUUUUUCUAAUUAUUAAGAAUAAGAUUAUUAUUAAUUAUCAAUAAAUAGAUAAUUAUAUUAAUUAUUACUUAUUAAUUAUAAAUAAUAAUUAUAAUAAAUAUCGAUUAUUAAUUAUUAAGAAUAAAAAGUAUUAAUAAUUAAUAAUAAAUAAACAUAAGUUAUUAAUUAUAAAAUUAAUUAUAAUAAUAAGUUAAUAAUAUAUAUCGAUUGUCAUAAGAAUAAUAUUAUUAAUAAUUAUUAAUAGAAAAAAUAAAGAAAUAUUAUUAAUUAUUUAUUAAUGAAUUAUAAAUAAUAAAUUAAUACAUAAUAAUUAUGUAAUUUUAAUAUUUAAUUAUAAAUAAUAAAUUAUUUAAAUUAUUUAAUUAUUAAAUAAUAAAAUAAUGAUUAAAUAUAUUAAUUAGAUUAAUUUAAUAAUUUACUGCCAUUAACAAUUAAAUUUGAUUUUGAAUUAAUCUUCGUUUCAUGCAAGGAACAAGGCUCUGGUUCCGAAAAGCGGGGGGGGGGUGUCGGCCUGGCGGGGGAGGCCACAGCAGUCUCAGCUCGGGUAUACCUGCUCAGUUCAGCAUUCCGCGAAACUAGCUGUUCCCGGGAAGCCAACAUUGCGUGUGGGAACAUAAGGCGGGGAACAGAGCUUAUUCCCCCCUUGUUUCCCGAACGCAAGGCCACCUACCUAUGAGUAUAAGCGGAGCCAAUACUGAUAAAAAGUAUAGUAGCCGAACUAUAUGCUAUAUAUAUAUGACAUGUAUUAUUAUGUAUAAUAUUAUAUACUAUACUAUAAGUAUACUAUAUAUAGUGACCUGUAUAUAUUAUAUAACUUAUAUAUUAGUACUGUAUACUAUGUAUGAUAUAUAUACGUAUAAGUUGUAGGGUAUACUAUAUAUAUAAUUGUAUUAUAUAUAAUUCAUACGAUAUAUUAGUAGAUACUAUAGUAUAAGCAUACCAGUUAUAUAUUAUUAUAUUACUUAUAGGCAUUACUACUAUAUACUUUAUAGUGUUACAAUUAUAUAGUAUAUAUAUACUAUAUUAUAUGAUAGUACUAUAACUACUAGUAUUGAGGCCUUCGUGCAGAAUGGCACGGUUUAACAGAUGUUAGUUUAUAUGAUUUAUUUUAGAGGUAGAAUUUCAACUAACAUUGAAAUAAAUCAAUAUAUUAUAUCAGAAGUAUUUAGACUACAAUUGUGUUUUCUAAAUGUUCAUAUGUUUUGAUAUUUAGUAGAUAAAGGAUUGCUAGGUAUAUUAAAUUUAAAUUUUAAAUAUAAACUGGGAGUGAUUAUCGAUUUUGCAUAAUUCGAAACAAUCAAGAAAAUUAAACUUUUAAGUUCAUCAAUUUAGUAUAACUCAACUCUUAAUGUUUAGUAAAUUAAUAGCGAUAGAGAAGUGUGUUACUUUUUAACAGCAUUGAUAAAGUAAGAGUUAUUUGUAUUUCUCAUACUUUUUUAACCAGUUGAUUAUAACCGGUUCAUAAGAUUGAAGUAUAAAUAAGUAUGAAUAAAUUUUUUUUAACAAAUUGCAUCAUAAAUUUGUAAUAUUAUAUUAAAUUCAAAAAUAUGAUUUUAACAAAUUUAUUAAUCCAAUCCAUUCUUUUAAUUAUUUCCCAUUAUAAUAAUAGAUAGUCCGCCAAAGUUAUAAUUUUAAUUAUAUUUAAGUUUGAAUUGAAAUAUAAUUUAUAGUAAUGAUUCUGGCCAAAAAUUUGUGAAUAGUCAAGAAUUUUUUUUUCAUAUUUUAGAGAUAAAAAUAGUUAAAUAAAAUUUUAGAUGAACCAAUUAGAAUUCACGACGUUAAAUAUCUUUCGGUUAGCAAAAAAAUUGGAUAAGUGUAUCUUUCUUUUAUUUUAAGAGGUAAACAGAAAUUAAAGUUGUUUCAUUAUGUUAUUUAUUUAACGAAAGAACAGAGGAAUCAAUAUUUUUUUUCCACCAAAAAAUGGGUCUAUCGACAGACGAAAUUUGAAAUACGUGCUUUUCUUUAUAUAUAUAUAUAUAUACUAUAUAUAUAUAUUAUAUAUAUAUAUAUAUAUAAGUCGGCACUUGUGCUACCAAGUUUUAUCGCCGACGUUAGCUUACCUUUUGAUCAUUUUACCGUUAGAUCAUACAUAUUCAACCAACCACCCACUCACCCGUAGGGAGACGCACAUCAUCGCUACCACAUCUCUUAAUCCAAUGUGCCAAAAUUGGUAGCACCAAUGACUGGUGCUAUUAAUAGCCAUAGUAGUAGUCGUUAGUAUAAUAUAUAGAAUUAUGCCUGCGAUACUUUAAUAGUUAAAACGUUCUUUAUUGUAUCAAGUUUUUAACCUUGGAUUAAAAAUUGUGUAGGCGUCAAGAUGUAUUAGUCGGGUUAGAGUUGAGUGGUCCCCCUAGGGUUGAGUGGUCCCACUGGUUUAUAUAUUUAUUCAAGUUAGAAAUAAUGAAAAGGUUGAUCAAAGUUUUUUCCUGGUAGCAACAAUGAGAUUUUGCUACUAUGAGUUAGCCCAGUCAACUCUCUCUCUCUUAUAUAUAUAUAGGUAGGCUGGUAUUUAGUGGGAAGCAUGGAGCCCUCCGAUGCUUCAGCUUUGUUUUCGAUGCUUCGGACUUUCGAUAUCGGCUCGGUUGAGUUGAUCUAGAGUAUUUGAAAUACCUAAAAAAUAAUUUGUGUGAUUUUCGAUGUUCAUUUGCCUCGUGAUCGAAGGGGUCAAAUAUCAAUAAUUUUAAUGGCGGUGCUGAGCCAGUUGCAGUUUAAUUGUGGUUGAGAAUAUCCAAAGUCACAUGAAUUUUGUAUAGAAAAUUCUUUCUACCAUAUAAAAGAAUCAUUACUUGAUCUAAAUUUCUAAUGUUAUUUCAUCAUAUUUUGCUAAUUUUAAUUUCAGCGUUGAUUUUGAGCCACUUCGAUCAUCAGGCCAAAUGAUAUAAAAAAGCACAAAAUUAUUUUCUAGUAUAUUUAAAUAGUCUAAGAUCAAGUCUACAAGUGGCGAUCGGUCGAUUCGAAAGUGCACGAAGAAAACAAAGUGGAAGCACGGAGGCGCUCCAUACUUUCCAUAAGCAACCAAACGCAUACUUAUAGUAAAGUACCAUUAAUAUACAUUAUAUAUGAAUAGGUAUAUAUAUACGUAUAUUAGAUGUUACUAUAUAUUGUUAUAGUAUGCAUUGUUAUAUGUGUAUAUAUAUUUAUAUAUAUAUGUAUAUAUAUAAUAUAUGUAAUAUAUAUGUAUAUAUUAUGUAUAACAUAUAUAUAUACAUGAUUUAAGGCUACGAAUACUUAUUUAUUAGUAUCGAGCUCGGUACUAUGUGUCUGUUUCGAUCUUAGGGGUUCAAAGAUCAACGAUCUCACACCGGUUAAAUAUGAUCUAGGUUAUAUGAAUUUUUAAGAAUAAAUUUUAGUUUUUUUCGAUAUCGUUUACUUAGUAAAUAAAUUAUAUCAAAAUGGAGCGCGGUCUGGAAAUUGAAUAAUCUUUAAAAUUGGUAUGAGACUUUUAUAAUUCAAGAUCAGAUGUAUAACUCUUAAUUUAUAUGUUUAAAGUAUUUUGCUAUCAAAUUGAAGAAAUUUAGAUUUUUCUACACGUUUAAACUCCAAAUCGUCAGUAAAUAGCCAUUGAAAUAUUGAAUUUUGAAUAGUUUUGAUCUAAUAAACGUAUGUCGAAGAAAUAUAAAAUUUUGAUUUCUAGAAACAUUUAAUACCCAAGAUCAGUUUUAACGGUGUGGAUCGGUUGAUUUGAACGCCGCUAAGAUCGAACCAAAUACUAUGUACCGGAGCUCGUACUAUAGAUAGUAGUAGUAGCUCAGCUUACUACAUAUAUAUACAAGGUAGAUUAUAUACAUCUAUAUGUAUAGUAUACAUAUACAUAUAUCAUAUACUAUUACAUAUACAUAUACAUAUACAUAUUACAUAUACAUUAUACAUAUAUACAUAUACAUAACUACAUAUUACAUAUACGUAUACAAUAUACAUAUAUUACAUAUACACAUAUACAAUAUACAUAUUAUCAAUAUAACAUAUACAUAUAUACAUAUACAUUAUAACAUAUAUAUUAUAUAUAUAUGUUAUAGCUAUAUAACAUAUAAUAUAUGUAUAUGUUAUAUACAUAUAUAUAUGUAUAUAAAUAUACAUAUAUAUAUGUAUUUACAUUACCGAUAUAUAUAUGUAGUAUACAUAUACAUAUAUAUAUGUAUAUGUAUAUACAAUAUUAUUAUGUAUGAUGUAUAUACUAUAUUAUAUGUAUAUAAUAUUACAUAUAAUAUAUGUCAUAUAUUGUAUACAUAUAUAUGUAUAUUAUGUAUAUGUACUAUUGUACAUAUAUACAUAUACAUAAUACAUAUAUAUGUUAUACAUAUAUAUACAUAUAUAGAUACAUAUGUUAUAUAUAUAUGCUCAUCGAUAUGUAUAUAUAUACAGAAGUAGGCGGCUUAAAUACUUUACAAGUAAUCGACCCAAGUCGAAUACUUGUGUGUUUUAGCCAUUGGAUUUACUUUUUUAUACUAAUAGUCUUGGAUCAAACACACUAUUCCACCUACACCAGCUACCACCACCUGACCACCAUCAUGCUCAACCUCACAUCUCUCCAUCCAAUGGCUAAAACACAACAAGUAUCAAUGGGGGAUACUUUUACAAGUAUCACUUGGGUGUCUCAAAGCACAACCUCAGCAUCCUCUUGCUUCCAAUAGCCACGAGUAGCUCCUCUCUGAGUAUCUCUCUCUCUCUCUACAUAUAUAAUAUAUAUGUUAUAUGCUAUAUAAUAUACAUUAUAUAUGUACAUAUAUACAUAUAUACAUAAUAUGUACUAUAUAAUGUUAUACCGUCACUAUACAUGAUACUUACCUCACUAUACACACCACCAUAUAUACCAUAAUAAAACCAUGUAUAUAUGAUCUACAUAUAUGACAUAUAUACAUGUAUAUACUGUCGGUACAUAAUAUACAUGUAUAUAUGCUUAGGCAGGGCUGCGUGCUCUCAGGACACGGAGGCCCUCGUCGCCUCCUAAGGCCGUUUCGGUGAUGGAUUUUGCGAAUCGACGAUCGGCUUCGUGUAGACUUGAUUCUAGCGCAUUUUGAAGUUUCUAGAAAAUAAAUUGUUGCAGAUUUUGUUCGAUAUCAUUUACCAGUGAUCGCAAAGAUUCACAAAUCUAUAAUUUUUAAUGGUCUGAUGCUGGCUCUCUCGGAAGCAUAAGAAAAUUGGUGCUUCCAACUUUUUGGCCCUUGGAUCAAUCCUCUUGACUAUUUCUGACCUUUGGAUUAAUAUUAUAACCUUAGAGGGACCACUCAAUCCUAGGUGGACCACUCAAUCCUAAGGAGGACCACUAUUAUUCUGAUCCUCUACCCCUAGAUCCAAGGACCAAAAGGUCGGAAGCACUAAUUUCUUUAUACUUUCGAAAGUAUAUAUAUAUAUAUAUAUAUAUAUAUAUAUAUAGGUUGGGGAUGCUAUACUUUUAUGAGUAUAGACACCCUUGUACUCAUAAACUUUUAACCGUUGAUUGAUGAGAUGUGUGGUUAGGAUGAUGGUGGCCCCCACUUAAAAUGAUAGUGGUCCCCUAGGGUUGAGUGGCUAGUUGGUUGAAUAGUAUGAUCUAACGGCCGAAAACUUAUGAGUAUUAGGAAGCUAAUACUCAUAAAAGUAUAGUAGCCGGACUCUAUAUAUAUAUAUAUAUAUAUAUAUAGUGUAGAGCUACUAUGCUAUCGGAAGCACAGAGGAUUUGAUGCUUUCGACUUUUUGACCCUUGGAUCAAGAAUUGUACUGUUGGGAUGAUUGCGGUCCUCCAGGGUUGAGUAAUACCCCUAGGGUUGAGUGGUCCCCACAGGGUAAUGUAUUAAGCCAAAGGUUAAAAAUGAUUAAAGGGAUUGAUGUAAGGGCCAAGCACCAGAUCCUCUAUGCUUCCAAUAGCACAGUAGCUCUCUCUAUAUCUCUCUCUCUCUCUACAUAUAUAUAUAUAUAUGUAUAUGUAUAUAUAUACAUAUAUAUGUACAUAUAUACAUAUAUACAUGUAUAUAUGUACAUAUAUACAUGUAUAUAUGUACUACAUAUAUACAUAUAUACAUGUAUAUAUGUAGAGCAGGGCUGCUGUGCUCUCAGGAGCACGGAGGCCUCCGUGCUCCUAAGCCGUUUUCGAUGAUGGAGUUUUCGAAUCGACGAUCGGCUCCGUUAAACUUGAUCUAGCGUAUUUAAAGUUUUUAGAAAAUAAUUUUUACGAUUUUUCGAUAUCAUUUACCUAGCAAUCGAAAGGAUUCAAAAUCAAUAAUUUUUAACGGCUGAAAAUAAAAAUCCUAUAAAAAGUGGUGAUAUAGCACUAAAAUUUUCGAUCAGAAAUAUAAAUCUUGUUAUAGAUAGUAUAAAGAAUUUUCUAUCAAAAUUUCAUCUGAUUUGAAUACUUCUACACCGUUAAACUUGAAAACCACGCGAGAUAUCAACCAUUAAAAAAUUAUAGAUUUUGAUCCUUUCGAUCACUAGUUAAAUGAUAUCGAAAAAUCGCAAAAAUUAUUUUCUAGAAACUUCAAAUGCGCUAGAUCAAGUCUAACGAAGCCGAUCGUCGAUUCGAAAUUCCAUCAUCGAAAACGGCUUAGGACAGCGCGAGGCCUCCGUGCUCCUGAGAGCACAGCAGCCCUGCUCUAGCAUAUAUACAUGUAUAUAUUACUACAUAUUAUACAUGUUAUAUAUGUAUAUAUGUAUACAUAUAAGUAUAUAUGUAUAUAUGUAGUACAUAUAUAUAUAACAUGUAUAUAUAGAUUAUACAUAUAUAUGUAUAUAUUAUAUAUAUGUAUAUAUUAUACAUAUACAUAUAUAUAUAUAUAUGUAGGAGAGAGAGAGAGAUAUAGAGAGAGCUACUGGCUAUUGGAAGCAUGGAGAUGCUGAGGUUGUGAUUUGGAACACACAAGUGAUACUGUAAAAGUAUCACCCAUGUGAUACUUGUGUUUUUAGCCAUUGGAUGGAGAGAUGUAGGUUGAGAUGAUGGUGGUAGGGGUGGUAGUGGUGGUAGGUGGAAUAGUGUUUGAUCCAAGGACUAUUAGUAAUAAAAAAGUAAAUCAAUUGGCUAAAAACACACAAGUAUCACUUGGGUGAUACUUGUAAAAGUAUUCUAGCCCUACUCUGUAUAUUAUAAUAUAACAUAUAUAUAAAUAUACAUAUGUAUAAUAUAUGUAUAUAUAGUAUAUAUACAUAUAUAUGUAUAUAUGUAUAUGGUAUAUAUGUACAUAUAUACAUAUACAUAUUAUACAUAUAUAUGUAUAACAAUGAGUAAUAUAUUAUGUAUAUAUAUAUAUACAUAUAUAUAUUAUAUACAUAUACAUGAUAUAUAUGUAUAUACAUAUACAUAUAUAUUAGUAUAUUAUAUACAUAUAAUAUUGUAUAGUGUAUAUACAUAUAUAUAUGUAUAGUAUGUAACAUAUAAUAUAUUACAUAUAAUAUAUUGUAUAUACAUAUACAUUAUAUAUAUAUAUAUGUAUAUAUGUAUAUGUAUAUACAUAUAUAUGUAAUAUAUUAUAUAUGUAUAUAUGUAUAUGUAUAUGUAUAUGUAUAUUAUGUAUAUGUAUAUGUAUAUGUAAUAUGUAUAUGUAUAUUAUAUGUAUAUAUGUAUAUGUACAUGUAAUGUAUAUAUGUAUAUGUAUAUGUAUACAUAUAUAUGUAUAUUAAUGUAUAUAUACAUAUAUGUAUAUAUAUUGUAUAUAUAGAGCGAGCUACUAUACUAUCUAUAGUACGCGGACUCCGUACUAUAGUUUGGUUUCGAUCUUAGGGCGUUCAAAUCAACGAUCCACACACCGUUAAAACUGAUCUUGGGUAUUUAAAUUUCUAGAAAUAAAAUUUUAUAAUUUUUUCGACAUAGUUUAUUUUAUAUCAAAACUAUUUCAAAAUUAUCAAUUUUCAAUGGCUAUUAUGACGAGUUUGGAGUUAACGUGUAGAAAAAUCUAAAUUUUCUUCAAAUUUUGAUAGAAAAUACUUUAAACUUAUAUAAAUAAGGUUAACAUUCUUGAUCUUGAAUUUAAAAGUCCUAUACUCAAAUUUUAAAGAUUAUUCAAUUCCACGUCCAUUUUGAUAUAAUUUAUUUACUAAGUAAACGAUAUCGAAAAACAAAAAUUUAUUCUUAAGAAAUUCAUAUACCCUAGAUCAUAUUUAACGGUGUGGAUCGUUGAUUGAACGCGCCUAAAGUCGAAAACCAACACUAUAGUACGGAGCUCGAUACUAUAAAUAGUAUAGUAGCCUAAUUCCUGUAUAUAUAUAGUAUAUACAUAUAUAUAUACAUAUAUAUACAUAUAUAUAAUAUAUAUAUAAAAAAAUAAUAUAUAUACAUAUAUAACAUAUAUAUUCAUAUAUAUACAUUUAUAUUACAUAUAUAUAUAUAUAUAUAUUAUUAUGUAUAUAUAAUGUAUAUAUAUAGUGCGUUUGGUAUGCUUAUGGAAGGUAUGGAGCGCUCCGCGUGCUUCCACUUUGUUUUCGUGUGUCGACUUUCGAAUCGACGAUCGGCUCUGUUAGACUUGAUCUAGAGUAUUUAAAAUAUCUAGAAAAUAAAUUUUGUGGCUUUUUUAUAUCAUUUGCCUAUUGAUCGAAGUGCCNNNNNNNNNNNNNNNNNNNNNNNNNNNNNNNNNNNNNNNNNNNNNNNNNNNNNNNNNNNNNNNNNNNNNNNNNNNNNNNNNNNNNNNNNNNNNNNNNNNNNNNNNNNNNNNNNNNNNNNNNNNNNNNNNNNNNNNNNNNNNNNNNNNNNNNNNNNNNNNNNNGGCCCCGGGGCGUGACAAUAUAUAUAUAUAUAUAUAUAUAUAUAUAUAUAUAUAGAAAAAUACGCAUAAAUAUAUGUUGAGCUAGAAUACUAUCAAAUACGCUAAACCAACUCUGACGCCAGCCAAUCGUUUUCGAUGAUCGAAAGUCCGAAUCAACGAUAAACAAAGUGGAAGCACGGAGCCCUACAUGCAUCCAGAAGCAUCAUAGAAAGCAAAUCUCAUACUAUAUAGAUAUAUAUAUAUAUAGACAAACAGAGAGAGAUGCAAAAAUGAACAGCUGAAAAUAAAUAUACUCUAAAAAGUAUCAUCAUUAUGGAGCUACUAGCAAUCAAGUCAUCGAGAGUAUACAUUUUGAUUAUAAAUAGUCCUCAGAUUAAACACUAUUCUCACCAAAAACCAACUGAUCACCACCUACCAUCAAAACGCUAAACCACAAAACGUCUCACAUCCAAGGACUAAAAACACACAAGUAUGAAACCCCAUGAUACUAUUACAAGUCAAUCAAGCCCAAAUAGAUAUAGAAAUAUAGAUAUAUAGAUACAUAGAGAGGUAUAGAUGCAUGUACAAAGAUAUAGAUACGUACGUAUGUAUGGAUGGAUCCAUGUAUAGAAAACGAAUGAGUGGCAACGGAGUCCGUAUGCUAUAGAUAGCAUAUCAGCUCAACUCUCUCUCUAUAUAUAUAUGUAUGUAUGUAUGUAUGUAUGUAUGGUUUAUGUGAACCAAAGAGAGGAUGGGUUUCGUCGCGAAUCUACGAUCAGUUCAGGCGAAACAAAAUCAUGGUCUUGAUGGUUCGGCAAUGCCGGAAGCGCUGGUGCAGUCCAUUCACAAAUUCGACGGACAUAUUUCUUGAUAUUGCAUGAUCUUCGAGAAAGGGUCGAAAUGGACAAAAAUAAAAAUUACGCAAAAGCCCCUAUAUUUUAUGUACCGAAUUGCGUGAAAUCGUACUUUGAGGUGCGUGCGCGCGUUUUACACACGCUGUGAGAGACUUAGCUUGAAAUAGUGGGAAUCGGAGGACUUACAUGCAAAAUAGCAUCAUUGUAUAUAUGCCAACCUAGGGUUUUCAUGAUCCAAAAUCCUAACGCUAGCAGCAUUGUACUCAGCUGAGCCCCCAGUCUUCUCCCCUCAAUCCUCCGCCUGUCUCGCGCGCUUCCUGGCUUCCGGCGACCAUGUUUUGGCCGGCCAAACGCCUCCACACCAUCAUCCAACCUCUCCCUCUCCUUCUCCACUGCCACAUUUCCCUCUUUCCCUACUUGAGAGCAAGGCAGGGUGCUAUUUCCUUUUUGGGCCCUUCACCGGCGACAACCCAGACCUCUGGCGACCUUUUCCAUCGACCAUAGCCUUCCCAAGCGCCGCUACUGCCGUUUGCUACCAACCUGGGUUGCGCGGGCAGAGGUAGCCGCGCCUCCUUACAACUCCGCUGCCUCUUUCCGGUCUUAAGAGACGUGUCGCUGCUGCCCCUUUGUCGUCCUGGCCGCCGCCGUCGCUGACAAACCUUCCCAGGCUGAGCCCUAGCUCGGGCGGGCUGAACUUUUCCCAACAUCGCCGCCACUGCUUCCCAGCAUUGGCCAAGGUGAGAGUCGCACUCCUCUUCUCCUCCGCACUCGACCUUGAGGUGCGUGCAGGCUGGAGCCUGGUUGCUCAUAGCAGGCUCGGAUAGGGCUGUUUUAGGGUGGUUUUCACUGUUCUAGGGACGCGAGGCAAUUUCGGCGCCUUCGAAGGUGAGCACGGUGACCCCUGGUCAGAGAUGAUCAUAGUACUCACCUUAUUUGCUAUCAGUGAGGUUCGGAUUAGCAUGUUGGGCCCAGUCGCUCCCCGUGCGCAUCGCUCGUUGAAGUUCAACUUGCUCCCGCGCAUUCCACAACAACCCGCAGUGCUCCGGACAGUAAGCACAGCCUUUGCCUUAUCGAGGCCUGUUAGCCCGUGUCACGGCUGACCCCGAAAGUACUUGAUUAGCGGCAAUGAGCAAUAAAACCCCUCCAAUUGCAUGUAUUGUUGUGAUUACAUGUAAUAGUAGGGUUUCUUACACAAAUUGUCACCUCUCAGCUGCUGUGGGCAGCGUGUAUAUGUGGUAGAUGACCUCUGGAUUGAUCGUCCAAGGUCUGAAAUCCUUCGCGGAGACCAAAUAUCGGUUUCGAUGCAUUUUUCAAAGAAAUUCGUCAGUAGACGGUUUCGGGUCAGAUUUUAUCCGACGCUAUUGGAACACCCUAAAUAUUGCCACUGAGCCUUGUUGGCUGGUCACCUACAUUAUCUCGAAUGUCCAAAGACGACAGGUAAGUAGCGGAGGGUUUCAGUAUUGAAAUUGACACUUCCGAGAACCCGGAUUGGAGCGAUUAUCCGACGAUAAUCGUUUCGACAUGUGACCUUCGUGUUUACUGCCAAGACAUCCAAAGUGAUGUGUUUUGAGGCAGCGGAUGACUCGUAACAUGAGUCGGUGAGUUUGGGACACUUCGUCGGUCCCGGCGGCGUCCCGGUGUGAUUUUCAGGACUUCGGGCGAGUUACGGAGAACGAUUUUUGGGAAAUCGAUUUCGUGGAAAAUUUUGGGGAUUGUGAGUGUUGUGUUUUGAGUCGUUUGGGUCGGACUCUGACUCUGCAGACCCUUUGUAUGUCUAGUUAACUAUCCUACGCAUCGUAGGGCAGACGCGACAGUGAUACAGAUGGGUUUUUCAAUCCGAAGUCGGUUUAGUGGUGCACGCUCGGUGAUGUUCCCUCCACUCUCUCUCUCUCUUUAUGUUCCUCACAUUACCUAUGAUUGUUGAGCCUAACACCAUAUGACUUCAUUAUAUGAUGCUCUACUCAGUUGUUUUUGUAUUAGAUUAUCAUAAUCUACGAUAGGGCGGUUGUUGAGUAUAUCUGUGCAUGAUGUGAUACCAGUUGUGACCUAGUUGGUCAGUAUUUUGAUUCUGGCUGUUUGAGGACCUAUUCGGUCGGCACACCUUGAGGGGUUGAUUGUUGGCUAAUUGCCGACAGCUACUGAUCAUAUUUGCAUCAAUCACCACUGCUCGUACUCAUUUUGUGUACACUAGCAGUAUGGCCACUGCAACUGUGUUCUUUUUCAAAAAAGUGGUCGGACUUUUGAACCAUGAGCCCAGGAGUUUAUGCUAGGGUCAUAUGCCAUUUACAGCGGCGUGGCACUUGCCUAUGGUUCUUAGACCGACACAGCGGAUUCUAGAUUGGGUAUUUUGGACUGAUCGUUCGAUUGAUUAAUGUUAUUUACAGUAGCGGUAGUUGCACAUCUAUUUUGUUUUCUAUUUGACAUUGCUACUGUAUUACUUUUCAUAGCUAUCUUUUGGUUACCAGUGAGCACACUCGUCCUCGUCGGCUUGCGGUACCCACUGGAAGACCCUUGUUGGUUUCUCACCACACCUCCCCCCCUCCCCCCAUUUCAGGUGAUCUUGGCAAACUGAGUCUGGACGAGGCAUGAGGUGCAUACAUAGCGAGAGUUAGAGUUUCCAGCUUGGCUACUUAUCGGUUUAGUCUCACCCCUCUCGGUUCAAUAAUGAAUUAGAUAGUAUGUGGUUCAAUUUUAUCUCUAUUUAACUUUAUUUGAUUUUACUCUGACAAUGGCAUGACUUAGAAUACUAAAUGAAACUAUUUUUGUGGACUUCAUGUGGAUUUGUAAAAAUAAUUUUCUAUCCCUCGUGGUAGCUUGCUUUUAAAAGAUAAGGGUUUCCGUGUGGAAAAUGGUUUUCAAAAAGGUUUUACAGUUUUCGUGAUUCUAGUAUUUCAAAAUAAGUUUUCGGGUGGGAAACGUUUUCAACUGAUAAAUGUGAUUGUAUAAAGGUACUUGUGAUCGUAUGUUGUGAAUGGAUGUGGUUGUAACUUCUAGGAUGUGUGACGCCGUGCAAAUACAUGAAAGACUCUGUCCGUGUAGACAAAGAGUUCUCUAUAUUUGUGGCGGGUCUGUCACCCUUGGGGUCAAGGUUUAAAAAAAAAAAAAAAAAAAAAAGGCACUUCCGCUAAUUCAAAGCGACGGCACAAAGAAUUUGGUCAAAGAUUUCUAUCUUCUCUAUUUUCGUCUUCUCGAUUACGAUUUUACAAAAAGCUUUUUUCGGUUAUAUUUUGGAGAUUUCAUUGAAGCAAGAGAAAGAUUGCAUUUGUUGGAAAAUCUUUCUGAUCUUCUAGUAAAAUAUUCUUUAAAAGCAAUUCAAAAGCUUAAUUUUAAUUUUAGAAAAAUUUUGAAAAAAAAUUAAAUAAUAAAUACUGUAGAGAAAAGGAUAGGAUAACUCCUGUAGAUCGAGGCAUGUAGAGUACUGUCUAGAAGUGAAAUUGCCCCUCCACGUGCGAGGCUUUCCGACAAUUACUUCAAGGUGGCGCAAGAUGAACUUGACAAGCUUUAGGAGUCCAGCGAAAUACUAGAAAGCUUAGCGAAAAUCAGUGCAAAAGUUCAAUAGCGAGAAAUAGAAGAAACAGAGGUAGCGGUUAGGGUUUUGUUCUUAGGUAUGCCUAGGUUCAAGGUUGAACUCAUGCAACCUCCUCUAAUAUAUAUAUCCAAGGCAAAGAUCUUUCUUCAACGCGUCAAUUCCAUAUAGCAUGAGAUAAGUCUAAGAUUAUACGGGAUACGGAUUAGAACUCCCACAAGAAUUAGGAAUAAGCCAAAAAAAAAAAUUAAAAUAAACCGAGUACCUGGACAGCGUGCGCCACCCGCCCGGCUCGGCUCGUAUGUGUUUAGUCGAGGGCAUAACUCUCAUUUUCUCCCAAGCAACUAGCUUGCGAAUGAAAGAGUAUAUAAAUAAUAACAACAUACUUUUAGUUUCCAAUAUGAGACUGAUCCUCACAUAUGAAAACCUUAAUAUGGGCUCCUAGGUAAGGCCCAUCAAGUAUUGGGCUGCUCAAAAGGCUUAAUAAGUUUUAAAUUACCAAAAACCCAAUAAAAUCUAACAAGAUUCACUAUAAGACUCUUGAUUUUUUUAUCUAGAGAAGACAUAAGGUAUAACCUUGUAUUUCUAUUUCCUCAUAUAUAUAUAGUGGAAUACAUCUCUCUCGCUUUUUUCGUUAACGUAGGCAAUUACAGAACCACGAAAAAUCUUGGUCUAUUUUUUCUGCAUUUAUUUCUAUGGGAAUUUGGUUAGAUUAGUAAUAGAUUUCUAGUUGAAUUAGGAAAAAUAUUUAAAUCUAUUGAAUAUAAAUUAAAAUGGAUUUACAUAUUGAUUAGAGUAUCCAUCAUAAUUAUACUGGAUUUGGGUACAUUUUAGGGGCUUUAUUAUAUAUAGCAUAGGAUGAUUAAUUAAUCAGGAAGUAUGUGUUACGAUUUGGUUAAAUUUUGCAGUUGAAUCCUAAUUGAAUUAUGAUUAAUAUUUAAAUUUGUUGGAAUAAAUUAAUUAAGAUUUAAAUAUUAAGUACAAUAUAAAUAUAAUUGUACUAGGAUUUGAAUACAUCUUCCAUAGAGCCGUAUAUAUAGGGCCGUGUAUGCUAAUUAUUGUAUAGCCUACGUAGUGUACGGCUAAGCCCGAAGCUCUUUUUUGGCGUGAUCGUACCAGGGAGAAACUAGGCCUAGUUUUGUGCACCUAGUGCAUGGAUGCAUACGGAAAUUUGUCUUCUAGAAUUAUAAAAGACGAGAGAAGUGUGGGAGAGAUUCAAAAAGAGGGCUCGAGUUGAAGCUACUUAGUGUAGAAAGGACUCAGGUGUAAUCUUCUUUUGUUUAAUGAAUCUUAUUUUAUUCGUAUAUUUUUUUUUCUUUAAUUUUUCUCAUUUGUGGUUGUACCAGCUGUUUGCCGAGGAGACAAGUUUAUCGAAAAAUUCAAUUUGACGCUUCUGUUGGUACCAAUCAACAACAGUCGGUAUCAAAGCGGGUUAUAGAUUCUCAAAAUCUAGUACCAGGCUGAGUACCAGAUUCCCAACAAUUAGUAUUAGAACUUAAGUUUAUCGAUUCUCAGGAAAGAUCAACUGAGGUGGCCACAAAAUUCAAAAUUGAGAAGUUCGACGGUAAGAACAAUUUUAAAUUGUGGCAGAUUAAAGUACAAGCAAUUCUCAUACAAUAAGAGUUGGAGGCAAAGCCAGCGGAGCUCAUGGAUGCAAUAUAGAAGAAGAUGGGGUGAAAAGUAUUAAGUCACUACAACAGAAUUAGGUUAUAGAGACACAUGUUUGGAACAUUUUUGUGUAAGUGUCCCAUUUAUACCAAAACUUUAAAAAAAAAUCUACUAAUGUCUAAAUAUAAAGCUCAAUCCAACAAAAAUAAACGGUUACCCUACUCAACCCACCCCACCGAGCCGAUUUGGCCCGAUUACAAACAGAAAAGAAAAAAAAAAGAAAAGAAAAAUCGAUUACCAUCUCCCAUUCUUUCCUCACUCAAUCCACUGAAAUCCUAGACGAAGAUCCCUUCCUCUCGUCCUCUUCCGCCACCGCAGCCAACGAGGUAGAGUUUCGGCGGUUGCUAAAUGCUUAAAUAAGUGUUUGUAAAUUAGCAGCACUCUUUUUAGAUUAUAGCGACACUCUUUAACUCUCACUGUAUACCUAGCGACCCCACAUAUAGCAACACUUUUUAAAAGUGUCGGUAAUUUAGCCAGCAACACUUUUUUUGACAUAUACCGACAUUUAAAAGUGUCGUUAUAGACCAUUUUUGUUGUAGUGGUACGCUUUAUCUAUCGUUAACAGAUGAGGUUCUCUCCUACGUAGCCAGCAAGUUGACACCGACGAAGUUGUGGAAGAAGUUGCAAGAUCUGUACACGACCAAAUCCUAACAAAUAGGCUAUAUUUGAAGCGGCCACUAUUCAAGCUAUGGAUGCAGAAAACGGCGAGCCAACACGAAUAUCUAAACAAGUUCAAUAAAGUGGUGGCUUAGUCGACUAGCAUUGGAGUCAAUUUUGAUGGUGAGGACAAGGCGCUAAUUUUACUAUCUUCGCUACUGACGGUAUAUGAGUAUUUAGUGACCAAAUUGCUAUAUGGCAAGGAGACCAUAAAUGUGUUGGCGGUCACGGCGGCGCUUUUCUCUAAUGAGAUACGAAAGAUGACUCAGGAGUCUAGCAUGCAUAGCCAUGAUAUUGCUCUGGUUGUAAAAGCGAAGAAUGAUGCGAAAAUAUCAGUGACCGCAAAAAGACAAAAGAAGCCGUUAUCUGGGUGUAGUUCUUCUACUGUAAUAGGAAAGGGCACAUAAAGUGUAACUGUCAGAAUCUUUAGAAUGAUCUGAAGAAGUUGAAGCGAUAGAAGGAGAAAACUACCAUGACGAGGAUGAGGAGACAUUAGCGAUGGCGCAGGCGACAGAAUCGAAGAUGAUCAAUUUCGAUGUGCUCUAUGCAGCGACCGGAGGUGCUAAAAUUUUGGAUGAUGCGUGGGUGCUUGAUUCAGCGUGUUCCCUUCAAGUCUGCCCAAGGAAGGAGUUUCUUGCCACCUCUAAGACGAUUCGGGUGGAAAGGCUCUGACGAGGAACGGGACGACGUGCAAAGUUGUGGAAGUCGGCACAGUAAUGAUCUGGAUACACGAUGGAGUCGUGAAGAUGCUGACAAGUGUGCGGCACAUUCCUAGUUUGAAGUAGAAUUUGAUUUCGCUAGCGUGUUGGAUUUGAAAUGUUGUGAUUUUUCAGCUUCAGGUGGAGAUAUGGCGGUACGAAAAUGAGAUUGGGUCGUGUGCGAGGCCUACAAGCACAGGAAUUUUUAUAUUCUGAACGGGAGUACAGUCAUAAUGGGAGUAAAAUCAGUUUGGGUUUCAAAAGUUCGUGGAGAUUCUGUCGCUCGAGAUGGAGUGGCGAAUACAGUGACAUCGAGCGGAGGAGACAAGCUCAAGGUGGAGCUUGCAUGGUAAGUUUGACGUAGCAGUUGAAAACUACAAAUCAAACUAAGGUGGUGAUUGUUAAGAUCUGGUCAGAUCUAUAGUUAAAUCCUAAUUGGAUCAAGAUUAAUAUUAAAAUCUGCUAGAGAUAAAUUUAUUAAGAUUUAAAUAUUAAUUAGAGUAUAAAUAUAAUUGGACUAUGAUUUGGGUACAUCUUGGGUCGAUCCUUGUAUAUAGGGCCAUGUAGUCAAAUUAUUAUAUAGCCUAGGUGUUGUAUAAGCCCAAAGCUCUUUAUUGGUGGUGACUAUACCAGGGAGAAGCUAGGCUUGGUUUGGUGCACAUCGUGCAUAAGUGCACAUGGAGAUUUGUCUUCUGAAAUUAUAGAAAAAUGAGAGAAGGGUGAGAAAGAUUCAAAAAGAGGGCUUGAGUUGAAACUAUUUUGUAUAGAAGAGGAGUCAGAUGUAAUCUUCUCUUAUUUAAUAAAUCUUAUUUCAUCCACAUUUUUUGUUUGAUUUUUUUCUCUUUUUUGUGGUUGUGCCAGUCAUUUGCUAAGGAGAAGGGGUUAUGGUAAAAAGUCGAUUUGACACUUUUAUUGCAAAAUCCCAACAACUGGCAUCAGAUCAACACCAGUUGUCAACGAAGUGGAUUACAGAUUCUCAAAAUCUAGUACCAAGGUGAGUACCAGAAUUCCAACAGUACAGCCAAGCCUAAGGUCAAGUUCAGCUCAAGUGGUGAAGCUUAAAGAGAGCCUAGGUGUCCGUACCAAGUUGCAGAUAGAGAGAGUCAUGGCCAUUGUUGCAUUCACUUAGUGCACGGAUGGGUUCAAAGAGAGUAGUCUUCUAAUUUUUUAUAGAAGAGGCUUGGGUUGAAGCUACUCUAUAUAGAAGAGGAGCCAAGUGUAAUUCUUCUCUUAUUUAAUGAAUAUUAUUUUACCUAUAUAUUUUUUGUUUGGUCUUUCUCUCCUUUGUGUUGUGCUAGUAAUAGUCUUUUUGUUGAGAAGGUAGAUUUAUGGCAAAAUUCUAAUUUGACACUUUUGUUGCAGUAUCCCAACAACUGGUACUGAAUCAACAGUAGUUUGUAUAGGAGCGGAUUGCGAAUUCUCAAAAUUUGGUAUCAAAGUGAGUACUAGAUUCCUAAUAAUUGAUAUAGAGCUUAAGGUUACCGAUUCUCGUAAGAGAUCGAAGGGGAUAGCGAUAAAGUUUGAUAGCAAGAACAAUCUCGACUUAUGGCAGAUUAAAGUACGAGCAAUCUGUGACACCCCAAUAGUACACACAUCUGAUAGGAAUGUGAUUGGGUAUAUAAGAGACCAUGAACAGUAGUAAUAAAAUUUGGGCAUAAGUAUUUCGGGCUGGUGGUUUGGGCCCAACGAGUUAUUAUUGCUAAAGAGUCGGAUCGUUACAUUUGAUAUUAGAGCCAAUUACCAGCCAGAAAUAUAAGAUGCAACAGAGUUAGGGUCGGAAUGAUAGGCUAAGCCAGGGUCUCGGAAUGAUAGGCUAUGCUAAAGUCAGAAUGACAAGGCUAGCGAGACAAGUCUCACAUUGCUUGGUGACCUUUGGUUGUGUGCAUGUGAUUAGGCUGACGAGGACGUUAAUGCCUAAAUUGGGGGAGUUUUUGACACUUCAAUAGUCCCACAUCAGAUGGGAAUGGGGUUGUGAUUGGUUAUAUAAGAGACACUAAAUAUUAGUAAUAAUAAUUAGGUUUAAACAUUUUCGGCAGGUGGUUUAAGCCCAAUGAGUUAUUAUUGCUAGUUAGCCGAGUCGUUACACAAUCGUCGUACAAAAGAGUUAGACGAUAAUUGAACGGGAAAGAGGUGAAGCGGGCGAAGGUCAUAGAUUCAACAUAGGAGAAGAUAGAGCAGAAGGUAUUGAGUAUGCUUCAUCUAUUAUUUGCAUAUGAUGUUCUUUACAAUGUAACCAAUAAGUCGACAAAGAAGUUGUGGACGAAAUUGGAAGAUCUGCAUAUGACCAAGUCCCUGACAAAUAAAUUGUAUCUGAAGCAGCGAUUGUUCACGUUGUGUAUCCAGGAAACAGCGAGCCUACAUGAGCAUCUAAAUGAGUUCAACAAGGCGGUGGCCUAGUUGACUAGUAUUGGAGUCAAUCUGGAUGACGAAGAUAAGGCGCUGAUUUUACUAUAUUCGCUACCAGUGACAUAUAAGCAUCCAUUGACCGCGUUAUUUUAUAGUAAGGAGACCAUAAGCAUGGAGGCGGUCACAGUAGUGGUUCUCUCAAAUGAAUUGCAAAAGAUGACUCAGCAGUCCGACAUGCAGAGCCGCGAUAUAGCUCUGGUAGUAAAAGCAAAGAAAAAGACAAAACUAUUUAUAACCGCAGAUAGACAGAAGAAGCCAUUAUUCGAGGUAAAGUGCUUAUACUAUCAUAGGAAAGGGCACAUUUAGUGCAAAUGUCGAAAUUUGAGAAUAAUAUGGAGUUGAAGCAAUAGAAAAAAAUACUAUUGUGGACCAAGACGAAGAGACAUCAGCGACAAUGCAUGCAGUAGAGUUGGAGAUGUUCGAUUUUGAUGUGCUAUAUGUAGCGACUGAUGGUGCUAAAAUUUUGGAUGAUGCGUGGCUACUCGACUCGGCAUGUUCCUUUCAUGUUUGUUUAGAGAAGGAGUCUAUUACCACCUGCAAGUUGAUCAAAGGUGGAAAAUGUCUUAUAGGGAAUAGGAUAGUGUACAAAGUUUUGGAAGUCGGCACGGUGAAGAUCCAGAUGCACGACGGGGUUAUGAGGAUGUUAACAAGUGUGCUACACGUUCCUGGUUAAACUUGGUAGGUCAAUGACAUGAUGACAUUCCUUCGAAAAUAGAAGACCUGAUUGGUCGGACAUUGUUGUAUUUUCGGCUAUUUGCAGAUGUUGACUAUUAAGCAUGUUGCAUCGAUCGCUUCAGCUCAUGAGCAUUUCACGUACACGAGCGGUCUGAUCCACCGUAAGAAGGUUUCUUUUUCAGAGAAGUGGUUGUACUUUCGACUUGUGACCUAACACAGAUUAUUUCUCAGGUCAUAUACUUAAUAAAACAUGUGUGAGAUAUAGCUUGAGGUCUAUAGACCAAUAUGGUGGAUGAUUGGGUAUGUUUGGACUAUUCAUCCGGUUGACGCAUUUCUAUUUUCUAUUUACAUGUCAGUAGUGGUUGUUUACACCUUCGAUUAUUGCUGUUAUUCCAUCCUAAUUUUUAUUGCUAUUGUACAUGUAUAUCUUUUCAUUAUACUUGCACAUUUUUAUUCAUCUUUAUCCUGUAGUAGUGGUUAUAUAUGCAUAUGAUAUUCCUUUCCUGUUUCUAUUGUUGCUGUAGUUAGUAUUUUUGUUUUUACCGUCGAUUAUCAUAUCUCUUGUUUGCAGGUGAGUACAGUUUGCUUUCGUCGGCUUGCGGUACCCACUAAAAAAUCUCAGGUUGGUUUCUCACCCCCUCUCUUCUCAGGUGGCACGGGCGGUGAGGGUCAGGACAAUGCAACAGGACGGUUUAGAUACUGGUAUCCCGAGCAUUGACUAUGGACGAUUCUUGAUGUUCCUGUAUUUGGUUUAGUUUAUUUCUAGUCCAAAUAUUGGUCGAUUUUGUUGGAUUAGUUAUACAUUUUUUACCUACAUAUUUAGUCUAACUCUUUUCCUACUGUUUUUCGUGAUGAUUGAUGAUUGUGGAUUUAUGUAAUUUGGAUAGUUGAUUUCUAUUUGUGGACGAUGUAUAUCCUGUAGUUACCUUUAUGUUAGUUCUUUAGUUAUUCUACUCUUGUAUCUCCCGUUUCUCAUUGUUCUGUAUUGUUGUUGUGUGGUUGGUAUUUGUAUUCAGGUGCUACGCUGUGCAUAUACAAGAGAGAUUUUGUUCGUUUGUUUAGGAGACCUUUCGUCUAUGUGGCGGGUCUGUGCGUGUUCCCAAGGGUGUCUUUAAAGGUGUUUAGCAAAAAAAUUUCACAUUUUUUCACUAGUUUUCUUAAAAUGGAUUUUCAAAAAGAACCCCAGAGCGUGACAGGGUACUGAUUAUAAUCUUUGUUGGCUUUUCCUAGGUGCAGGUGACUUCUAGAACCAUCGGUUGAGUGGGACUCGGGUACUUGGUGAGGUGGAUGCCCCAUUUCGAAAUCAGUAAAGUUGUAUAUUACUCAGUUUUGCUGUGAAUUUCUAUUGCUCUGCUACACUCAUGGGUAGUACAACUUAUCUUAACAUUCUACUAUUACUUGCGUUACUCUACGUGUCAGCUACGUGAUCUAUCUAUUCUUUGUAUUGCUUGUAUGAGUUACCAUGACUGUUUUUCCGUCUCUAUAGUACUAGUGACAUGUAGAGAAAGGUUCUAUCCAGUGUAUCUAAUUAUAAUAAGAUCUAGUAGGUCGGAGGUUACUCGUUGCUGAGAUUUGACUAUAUAGGUCGAAUCUAUAUAUGACUUGAUCUGUUAGGUCGGCAAUACUCAUUUGCUGGGUUUGGACCUCAUCGGUCGGCUGUUCUUCUAUGUAAGAUUGGACCUCAAAAGUCGAUACUUCCUUUAUGAGAUUGACCGUUUAGACUUAUCGUGUUCGUGGUUGAGACCUCAGCAUGCUACGUAUCUUUUUUCUUGUGUUUAGCAUCAUGUCCUUUGAUACUCGCGUCGUGUAGCAUACUAGUUGACUUGAGAUUUCCUCUUUGUUCCACUUGUCACCUACAGGCAGGGAUUUAACUGUUGAGUCUAAAUUGUUGAAGCUUUGAAUAUACGUAUAUGACUAUAGCUUGUGAUGGUACUGUAGAUCUUAGUUAGGGUUCAUAACCCUAGGUUCUUCAAUUGCCAACCGAGUGGGAGGUGUUGUUUCUUAGACAGGGUUUGCCACCCUGAGUGCUUCACUACUAGAUUUGAUGUAUACGUCAUUUAGACAGAGUUAGUAACUUUGGGUACUAGUGGUUGUGUCCCUUCAGAGUGUUACAUGAUUUUUGGUCUUCGUGACCAAGUGGACGAGCUUAGGCCGGAUCUUGAUGAUAGACCAUGGUGAUUAGGUAUACUUCGGACUAUUCAUAUGUUGAAUUGAUGCGUAGUAUCUUUAUUUGAGUUGAGCAUGUCAUUCUAGUAGGCUGUUUGGUUUACAAUAGCGGCAUCAUUUGUAUAGUGAUUCAUGAUAUUCUAUAUGUACUAUCUUACUACUGUAGUUUGUGUUGUUCUUUCAUUUAUAUAUGACUUUCGUUUACAGUAGCAGUAUCUUUAGGGUUGCUUGUUCAGGACAUUUAAUCAUUUACUAUCUUGCUACUGUCGUUGGUUUUAUUCAUCAUAUUAGUAUUUUUAAUUCAUGUUUAUAGUAGCGGCAUUACAUUGUAUUUCACUUCAUGAUAUUUAUCUAUCUAUCUUUCUUGCUACUAUAGUUAAUUACUCCUCAUCUACAGUUAUUCAUUUAUCAUACUCCUUUUGUUUACCAGUGCAUACAACUUACCCUCGUCGGCCGAUUGCUCCCACUGGGAGACAUAUUUAUGUGCUUAUUACCCCACUGCUUUUAUAAGUGUGAGAUUCCUGGUGUUUGGCUGUGGGGGCUUGUCGACAGCUCUGGAGAGUGUCGGGACAAGUCCGAGUCGCGUUGGCGUCAAAUAGACGCAAAACGGACUCCGUGCGACGCGAGGGCAGCAUUCAGCGAAGGAAUCUGCGAAACAGCAGAUUUUCCUGCUUGCUGUACCGGUACAAGUGUAUGCUGUACCGGUACAACCAGCGCGGGGAAUGCUUGCUGUACCGGUACAAGGGUUUUCUGUACCGGUACAAGCUACGCGCACAGAUUUAGCUGCUCUCGGGUUGGCUCUUGUACCGGUACAGGAGCCCGUGUACCGGUACAAGGGAGUUGGUGGAGGGCUAAAUCAGUAAAAUUCCACCUCGUUCAUGUCACCGUCUUUCCCUCUCUCUAUUUAUCUGUGGAUUGAGCUGAGAGAGAGAGAGUUUUCACCAUCUCCUUUCUCUCUCUCUCACUCUAGGCCGGUUGGGAGCACGGUUGAGCCGGGGAUUCGCCGACGUCGCGCCGCGAGCCGUUCGAGCGAGCGUUUGUUGCCGGGGCAUUGCGAAGAGGCCGGGCGAGGGUGCGUCUUCGCCGUCCUGGACAUCGCGCCGAGGAUUGUCGCUGUUGAGGUGAGCAUUUGGUCGCAAUUGCUCCGAGUACUUCGGGUAUCGUUGAUUUGAGCUUAAGUGCUGUUUUCGCAGAAUCUACCGUCGACUGUUAGUAUUUCGGCUCGUUCUCCGCGUAGGAGCGUCGGAUCGCGACGAAACUUGGUUCAUUGGAUUCUAGACUGCGAGAGGAUUCCACGGAGCCCUCACUUGCAAUUUUUGGACGAGGUUAGCUUGGUCGAAACUUGGUCUCUUUCAGCUGCUGUGAACUUAGGCUGAUUUGUGAUGUUUUGGUCGUUUUAGCUCGGCGACCGGUCUAGGUGGUCCCUGAGGAAUCCAGCAGCAUCGCGGGUGGCCGAGGCUGAGUUCGCUGCCAGGAAAUUGCACUUGAGGUGGGUUACAUCGGUUUUAUCUCCUAAGUUCAUAAUCGUCAACAUGUAUAGAUCUUGAGUUUGAUAAUUUAUUCUAGCUCGAAUUCAUGGAUUAUAUGAUAGAAUGCAAAUCUGAAUUUGGAGUAUGUGGUAAUAAAUUAAGUAGAUUAUAUAUGUUGGACUUGGAAACUGAAUUAGGAGAAAACCUGCGAUUUGGACCUGUCACCAGUUUUAACUACCUGAUUUAGCUCUAGGAGCCGUUAGAAAAUUGUACUGUCGCAGUUUCUUCGAGACGAGUACUCCAGGUAGUUUAGAAUGUAUUUACACUCGUGCUGGUUCGCCGAGUGGAUUUUUACAGGGUCGUUCAGGUCGUUUCGGACUGUUGGGUGCCGUCAGAGUUGACGGUGGACCCGUAUCGCCUUUUUGGCGUCAGAUUGUGCCGAGGGCACGUUACCUGUUGGUUGUUAGACCAGUUUGAGUCGAUUACUUGACUUUGGCUAGUUGGAGCCUGAUUGAGCUCGACAGAGAUACGCUGCAUACUCGGUUGGGUAGCGCCCACGAGUGCCACUCCGGAGUCAGGCUUGUGCUUUUGCGUUGGUGUCGCUCAUGCCAGUUGGACUUGCUCUCCACGGACCAGUUAGAGUGGAUAGAGCCCGAUAGUCGCAACGGGGCAGGGACGGGUGUAUUCACAGUCCCGGGGACGGGUAUGCUUACAGUCCCGAUUGGAUUGGGUCAGAUUUGACAUUUCCUACAGUUGGUUAGUGUAGAGCAUGAUAGUGUAGUGGAUGAUAGCGGUAGAGUAUGCUUCCUGCUUUCCUUCUAUCCUUGCUCCCUUCUGUAGACUUAGUGGGUGACCGAUGUUGUUUUGGGCGGUACCCACUGAGGACUACUUGUUUUUACAGUAGUUCUCACGCCCAGUUGUUACUUAUGUUUUGCAGAGCCACAGGUGCCGGCUGCUGCAUCUUCUGCCGAUCAGGAUCGAGGCAAGGGCGUUGCGAGCUAGAGCCCUACCCGACAGUCAGAGCUAGAGGCUUUCCCCUACUGCAGGUAGUUUUGUUUUGGAGUUUAUGUACAUAGUUGUUUAACUCGCCAGUGCGAGUAGCUUUGUAUUUUGGAUUCUAGCUAUGUAUAUGAAACUCAGAUAUUUAGCUUAUUUUUUUGGGCAGCUCUAUGCUACUGUUUGUAGUAUUGUAUUUCUACUGGUACUUUGACGCUUCGUAUACAGGGGAAAUUCCUUGUAUACGGCGGAUUUGUCGGCGUGCCCGGAGAACGAGACAUCCGGGGCGUGACAAAUUAAGUUGGUAUCAGAGCUUUGCUAUAGGUUGUUGGGACCUAGGAAACCUAAGUUCGGCAAACCUUAGGAAAGCAAGACGCGAGAGGCGUAAUUUAUUGCGAAAGUCAAUGAUUAGCUGUUCUAACUCCUCCUAGAGUGGGGGAGUGACCGAAGGAGUUCCUGUUUUGGCCUGAGGAAUUAUGUUGGCUGCAGACGACAUAAUUUUGGAGGAAAACAGGGACCGCCUUCCAGACUUUCGUUGAUUGUGUCGAGAGUGUUGUGUUGUAUUUGACCCCGAUUUAUUCCUUUCAGCUAUGUAUCGUCGUCGAGGUCGACCGUCGUUGCGGGAGCGGGCCCAGUUGGCGCGGGAUCAUGCUCGACCUUCUGAGAGAUCUGAGCAGAUGGAGCAGAGUACUCUGCAGGAGCAGGGUGACAGACCGGAGGCGAGUGCACCCCCUGUUGUGUAGCCGAGUGCGCGACCUGAGGCUAGCGCACCCCCUGAUCUGAGUGCACAGUUAGCUGCCCUGACCGAGGUGACGAGGCAGCAGGGGGAGUUGUUGCAGAGGUUGUGUGAGAAGAUAUCUCAGUCACCGAGUUCAGCACCGAGUGUACCAGAGCAGACUGUUUCACCACCGACUACACCAGUGACCGUACCAGCUGCAGCAGUCCCUCCGACAGCAGCAGUUCCAGUAGCGCCAGUUGCGUCGGCUGGGGGGCCAGUACAGUUGACUGAGGCCGAGCAGGAGCGGUGGACGGAGAGGUUGGCUCGUUUUCGCCGAUUUGAUCCAUCGAUUUUUAUGGCAGAUGCACUGAGGCGUGGGUUGUUGAGGGAUGGGUCAGUGCGAUGGAGAAGCUAUUUGAGGAUCUGUUCAUUCCGGAGGGGGAGCAGGUACCACUGGGAGUACACUGUUUGUCAGGUGAUGCACGUGAUUGGUGGCGGAGAGCGAGGCGAGACCAGGGACUGGUGGCGGCGCAACUGAGAUGGGAUGAGUUCUGUGGAAUGCUAUUUGGGAUGUUCUUUCCCAACAGUGUGAAGCAGAAGCUCGAGGAGGAUUUGAGGAGACUUCAGCAGGGAGAUCGCCCAGUGCAGGAGUACGUUCGGGAGUUUACUCGACUCCUGAACUGUGUACCAUUUGCGGCCAGAGAUGAGGCGCACAGGGUAUACAUGUUCGAGCAGGGGCUGAGAUCGGACAUCUUCAGGUUAGUGCGGGCGCAGAGGUCGAGGACCCUGGAUGCGUCCAUAGAGCAGACCCUAUGGGUGGAGAGAGGUGAGGUGUCGCUGCAGGAGAGGACUCAGAUUGUGGGGCAGAGUCAAGACAGGAAGCGCCCCUUUCCAGAUCACGGAGGGCAAUCGAGCAGCAGACGUCCGCCAAGGCCUCCACGAUCACGUUCUCAGGGUCGUGGGUCUUCGGGGCGUCAGCGUUCCAGGGGAUUCCGUCAGCAGGGGCAGACUCAGAGGACGCCACAGUGUGUGAUCUGCGGGGGACCACACUGGCCUCGGCAGUGCGAGCAGAGAGAGGGCAGGUGCUACGGAUGUGGUCAGCCGGGACAUAUGAGGGCAGCUUGUCCCCGAGCAGCAUCUCCAGCACCGUCAUCAGCUUCGGCACCACCAGCACCACAGCAGUCUUNNNNNNNNNNNNNNNNNNNNNNNNNNNNNNNNNNNNNNNNNNNNNNNNNNNNNNNNNNNNNNNNNNNNNNNNNNNNNNNNNNNNNNNNNNNNNNNNNNNNCUUCUGUAGACUUAGUGGGUGACCGAUGUCGUUUUGGGCGGUACCCACUGAGGACUACUUGUUUUUACAGUAGUUCUCACGCCCAGUUGUUACUUAUGUUUUGCAAAGCCACAGGUGUCGGCUGCUGCAUCUUCUGCCGAUCAGGAUCGAGGCAAGGGCGUUGCGAGCUAGAGCCCUACCCGACAGUCAGAGCUAGAGGCUUUCCCCUACUGCAGGUAGUUUUGUUUUGGAGUUUAUGUACAUAGUUGUUUAACUCGCCAGUGCGAGUAGCUUUGUAUUUUGGAUUCUAGCUAUGUAUAUGAAACUCAGAUAUUUAGCUUAUUUUUUGGGCAGCUCUAUGCUACUGUUUGUAGUAUUGUAUUUCUACUGGUACUUUGACGCUUCGUAUACAAGGGAAAUUCUUUUGUAUACGGCGAAUUUGUAGGUGUGCCCGGGGAACGAGACAUCCGGGGCGUGACAAUAAGUGUCACUAACAUUGCGGGUCGGGAUGCAGUGUGAGAACGCAGUCAGUUAGCACCUAGAUAAUUCAUGAUGUAUAUAGGCCUUGAUUUAGUCCCGAAUUUAUUCUUAUUCGUUAUAUUCAUAUCUGUGGAAAUUAUAUUAUUCUGUUUGGGGGAUUUAAGUUUAGAUUCUACUUUUGAGUUUUCCUAUUGUAGUGGUUUGGCGGAUUCCUGGUUUUUACUUGUUAAUAGUUGGAAAAACUUCAGAAACCCCCCCGUGGUUUCAUAGUUUCUCACUUUGCCCCCCUGUGGUUUAAAAUGUAUCAAAUUGUCCCCCUGUGUUUUCGUUUUUAUCUUUUCGGUAGCUUUUUCGUUAAUAUUUAAUUAAAUUAUAUACAAAAAACUUCAGAUACCUAUCUAGAUUUAUCAAAUAUUCACUUUAGUACCCUUUAAUUUUAACUUUAUAACUGAUUUAAGAAAAAAAAAUAAUAAAAUUGAUAAGAAAAAGAGAAAAAAGAAACCACAGGGGGGCAAUUUGAUACAUUUUAAACCACAGGGGGGCAAAGUGAGAAACUACGAAACCACAGGGGAGGUUUUUGAAGUUUUCCCUUAAUAGUUUUCCUUCCAAUUUUGGUUGCUUGUGGUUGUGUAUCUGGACAUCUAUUUGUAUAAGGUAGACUAUGUCUACAUAGAAAGAGAAAACUUUGUGCAUAUGACGGAUCUAUACACAUCUCUGGCGAGAUUUCAAAAAAAAAUUCAUAUGCUUUUCCGCAAAUUAUACUUUCAAAAUAGAAGGAUUUCCAAAAAUGCUUUUCAAAAAGGGCCGAUGCAUGCGUGAUAUUAAAUGUUAAAAAUAUUUAAUAAAAAAAGGAAUUAAAGGUUAUUCAUUAGAAAUUUUUAAUAUAUAUUUGAAAUUAAAUGUUAAUUUAAGUAUGUGUUUAAAUUAUGAUAUAAAAAUAUUUAAUAAAAACGGAAAGAUUAUCUAUUAGAGAGUUUUAAUAUAUAUAUGAAAUUAAAUGUUAAUUUAAGUAUGUGUUUAAAUUAUGAUAUAAAAAUAUUUAAUAAAAAAGAAAAGGCUAUAUAUUAGAGAAAAAUCCAAAUUAAAGUUUGUUUCAUUACGUAUCCAUUCCUACCAGUUCCUAUUCUUAUCCUUAUAUUUCACUUCUUAUUUUUAUAUUUUUUAAAAUGGUCUAUUGACCGACCGAGUGAAAUUUGAAAUACGUACUUUUAUAUAUAGUAUAGAUAUAGAUAUAUAUCAGAGAGAUUGCAAUACUUACAUAUUGUCCAUCCAUUACGCUUGCCAUAAAAAAUAAUCAAGAAUGAUUCGAGAUUUGAAAUUCAAAAAUAACUUACAUCUGUUGGUUCCCUUGCAAAGGACUCGGUCGUUGAUCCCAUGUCUACUUACUUGAAGAUGAAUAGAUCUUGAUUAUCUUUAUUUAUAUAUGAUGGAAGAGAUGAGGGACAUGAUAUAACUAAUGUAAAAGUGCGGGAAGGAAAUACUUAUUUCAUGAAUAUUAUGCUCCCACACAUAUUUUAAUGCUUAUUUGAAAAGAAAAAACAUUUUGAAAUUAAUUUCAAAUUUAAUUGUUUGUUACAGUUAAUAAAAAGUUAGUAUAAUAAUAAUAAUUUGUGACAGCCUAAUAGUCCCAUAUCGGAUGGGAAUGGAGUUGUUAUUGGAUAUAUAAGAGGACUCCACCUUAAUAUAGCCGAGUUUAGGCAUUUUGGAUUGAUGAUUUUGGCCCAACGAGUUGUUAUUAUUGGCAGGUCGUGUUGUUACAUUUGGUAUCAGAGCCGAUUCACCAGCUGGAAGUGGAAGUGUGAGAUAAGUCUUAGAGCCAGGGUUGGAAUGACAGGCUAAAUCAGGGUCAGUGAAUAAUAAACUAAGUCAGAGUCGGAAUGAUAAAGUUAACGAAACGAGUUAUUAUUAUUAGUGAGUAGGGUCGUUACAUAUGGAAUAAUAUAUUGGGGCAAUUGCCUAUAUACCCCUGAAAAGNUUGUUGACAACAACUAUUUAAAUUUGAAUUAGAGUAUGACGGGUAAUAUUAUAUAAUAAAUAAAUUUAUUUUUAAAAUAUUAUAAAUUUUUGAAUAAAUAUAAUGUAUAAUUUUUUAUUAAUUUAAAAUAAUUAUUAAAUAAUUAAUUGUUACGUGCAUUUGUACGUACACUCAACUAGUAUAUAUAUAUAUAUAUAUAUAUAUAUAUAUCUUGAUACAUCACGUGCAGAUAAUUAUUUUUUAAAAGGCAAAUCAAAUUAUUUGAAUGGUCUGAAAUCAAAGUUUUUAAAAUUUAGAUAAUUAUUUUCAAAUGAUCCUAAUUAAUAUACCUCGGUUUUCACGUCGAUUCAACAUGAUAAUCGAACAACCUAACUGCACCAAUUCUAUUGGUCAACGCCUUACGUGCUAGAGUAAAUGAGAGCGUAGAACAAUUUUUUUUUUAUUCUCAGAGAUUUAAACUAAAGGUGAGAAAACAACGACAGAAAACAAAAGCAACGACAUUUGAGGGCCAGAGGUAAACAGUAUUUUAAAUAUCUAUAUCCAUAGAUAUAUUAAAAGUUGGGUUUUCGGAAAGCUCCACGUGGUAGCGGAUGGGCGCGCACAAGGGUCGCGGGUCGCGUGUGGCCGGGCGGGCGCGGUGUGGACGCGCACGAGGGGCGCGAGCGGGCUCGGUCGCGCCUCCUCUAAUUCUCCUCUCUCUCUCUCUCUCUCUGUCUCUCUCUCUCUCUCUCUCCCCGCGAGCGAGCGACCCUGCAGUUCCAUCUUGCCCUUCCUCCCUGCCCCCUGGUCUUUUAAAAUAUCAUAUACACCAAGUCUCUUUUUAUUGUUAAUAUUUUAAAAUUUAUACGAUAUAUAAUCCGGCAGUUUCAUCACAUUAUAAAAAUCUUUAAUAUUAAUUAUCAAAUAUUCUAUCAAUCAUCUGAUAUGCUUUGAUAGUGUAUGAAAUAUUAAUAUACAUUAAGUGCAAGUAAAGAUUUCUUCUCUUUUUCUUUGAAUCAUGAAUGCGUUAUAUUAAGCAUUCUCUAUAUUGGAUGUAUAUAAGAAUAUACACCACAUACUUAAAAUAUUUAAUAAAGAUUUUAAAAUUUAAUUCAGUAAACAUAUUUAAAUUAUUAAACUUUAUAAUUUAGAUAUAUUUAAUUAAGUUUUGAUAUUAAAAAUUAGUCUUUUAAUAUAAUUUGUGGUGUAUGGUGUGUUAAUAUACACCAGGUGCAAAUAAUAACUUUUUCUUUCUCCAAUCAAUAUUAAUUAGAUAAGGAUAAUAUCAUAUAUUUACAAUUUAGAAUAAGUUCUCCAAUUUUAACUCUUUAAUUAAAACUUUAUUUAUAGAAUAGCUACUAAAACUACUAAAUUUGAUUGAAUUUUUAGGUGAAGUUAUUAGAAUAUUUUAACUUUACAAAUACUAAAAGUUAAAAAAUAUUAAUAAAAAAAUGUUAGCUUUAUAAUGUAUAGAAGGUUAUAUAUAUCUUUAUUUUUUAUUAUAUUUUUUUAAUUUUAAAAUAUAAUAAUUAUAUAUAUUGAUUGGCUGAAAUAUUAUUAAUCUGUCGCGGAAUGCGGGCCCUAAACUAGUACACUAUGAAUCCUCAGUUUAAAAGAUUCAACGUGGCAUUUUGGGGCGGAGGCGGAGAGGGGGUGUGGGGUGCGGCCCAUCUCUCUCUCUCUCUCUCUCUCUCUCUCUCUCAUUUUAACAGAGAAAAAUAAAAUUCAUCAUUUUUUUAAUUCAAUCUAAUUCUCCUCUCUUUUAAUAUAAAAAGGCCUAAUUUUAAAAAAAAUUUAGGUUGCAUGCAUUAAAUAUAAAUUUUGAUUUUAUAAUAUUGAUCAAAAAAAAAUGGAGUUUAAAUUAAUUAGUUAUUUUAAUAAAUUUAGUUGCAAGAGUUGUAUGAAAUAUAAUAAUUAAAUUUGUAAAGUUAAAUAAUGCAUUGAAAUUUUAAAAUUAAAGUACUAUUGACUGUGUAGUGUCUCUGGUAUUCUGCUGCUCGUGGGUUUCAGCAUUUGAGGCUUGUCGACACAUCUGGAAAGUGUCGAGACAAGUGGGAGUCGUUUUGGACAAAUUGGACGCAAAACGGACUCAGUGUGAUGCGAGAGUAGAGUUUUGACAUUGGAAUCUGCAAAGUGCAAGAUUUCAGUAUUGAGUACCGGUACCAGAAAGAGGAGUACUGGUACUCCCAGUGAAAUUCCAGAACUGAUGCUCUCGAGUUGCGCCAAUCUGAUGCUGAGUACCGGUACCGACCUGUUGAGUACCGAUAUCGAGCUCGGGUACCGGUACUCCAUCGGGCGAGUAUCGGUACCUUGUGUGCGAGCUUGCGGGUUCAGAGGCCGAGUACCGGUAACCAAGUUGGGUACCGGUACUCCAGCUGGAUUUUUGAGUUGGUGAGGGGCCUUUUGGUCAUUUGUUGUGUCGAUCAACCCAAUGUUACUCCCAACCUAUAUAUUCACUGUGAGAGAGUCUAAGCCGGUUCUUCUUCUUCUUUCUCUCUCUCUAGCUGGUGGACUCGUAUGUUGUAGAGGUCGCGGCUAGAGCUCGGGAGGUUGUCGCCUCGAUCCAGAGGGCCGUUCGAGCACGCGGGCGUCGUGGUUGCAUCGUUGGGAGGCCAGGUGAGCACGUGGAUUCCCUUCUUUCGACUUCUCGCCGUUGUUGGACGAGGGGUUGAAGUUUACCGAACUCACCAGAUUUUCUUCUAAGUUCUAUCAACGUCAACAUGUGUUUGUUGGUUAUUGGUUAAUCCUGCUAGUACUCGAAUUCAUGAAAAUUAUAGAUUAGGCUAUAAAAUCUAAAUUUGGAGUUAAGCUAGUAUUAUAUUCAUGCUGGACUUGAAAUUGACUUAGGAGAAAACUAAUAAAUUCUAUACUGUGAUUUUUCUGAAAAUUAUCAGAUUUAGCUUUAGAUACUGUGGUUCGUUUGUAUCGUCGCUGUUCGUAUGCGGUGGAUACUGACAUUAGUGUAGGAUGAGUUUACGCUCGUGCUGGGAUGCCGAGCUUAAUUUAUGGUAGUGUGUAGACUAUUUCGGACUGUCGGGCGCCGUCGCGGUUGAUGGUGGACCUAGAUUUCUGUAUUCGCAUUAAAUUGUACCAAGAACACGUGAGCUUUUGUUGUUAGACCAGUUAAACCCAUUUGAAAUGAUUAUAGCCUGUGAGAGUCUUAUUGAGCUCGGCAGAGAUACAGUUGCAUACUCGGUUGGGUCGCGCCCACGAGUGCCGCUCCAGAGUCUGGUUCUUUGCUUUGCGUUGAUGUCGUUGUUGUCCUAUUUGAAAUUGCUCUCCAUAGGCAGCCCUCGGGGUGGUGUUCGGUGUAGAUUCGACAGACGCGACGGGUGUAUUCACAGUCCCUAGUGAGAUUGGAGCAGAGAUAGUAUUUCUUUUAUCUAUAGAUAGUUAGUGUUGAUUAGCGAUAGUAUAGUAGCAUAUAGCUGUAGGGUUUCCAGCUUUCCUUACUAUCUCUUGUACACUUUUUAGUAGACUUAGUGGAUGAGCCGUUGAGGUCGGUGACGGCACCCACUGAAGACUACUAUAUUUUGCAGUAGUUCUCACACUCAGUUGGUGACCCCUUUUUGCAGAGCCUUCGUCUGCGGCUGCAACUGUUGCUGAUUCCGACCGUGGGAAAGGAGUUGCAAGUUAGAUCCCUACCAAGCGUGUCGCCGUACAAGAGGAGGACCCUCCGCAGGUAGUUUUGGAGUGUUUUGGUUCAUGUACAUAUUUAUGUUGGUCUACUCGCUGGAGCGAGGGUUGGUUGUAUCUCGGAAACUUUGUAUGUAUAGUGAACCUAUUGUUUUAUUUAUAUGUUCAAUUUAGCUACUCUUUACCUUGUGGUUGUAGCUUGGUUUUGUUUACAGGUAUAACUAUCGCUUCGUAUACAGAAAAAUUUCUAUGUAUACGGCGGGUCAGUUGGUGUGCCCGAAAAAAUAUGAUAAUCCGAGACGUGACAGACUGACUCAAAUCUACAUAUUAAAAUGUUGGAUAGAAGAAAACAAAAUUUUAAAAGGUUGGAUAGCUAAUUCAAAAUAGUUCAUAAUUCAAGAAAUUUUAAUGUGUUUUAAGUUUGAUUUUAGUAUCAAACUUCAAUGUUAUUUUCGUAGUCUGAUAAGCGAUCAAAUUUCACGUUUAAAUCUUCUAGAAUAUCCAAACCAUGAUUAGUUGACUUUUAAUUUUAAAAUUAGACAUCCUAAAAUUUAUUAGAUAGUUUAACAGAUUAUUUUGUCAAAUGAAAUUACUAACUAAAUAAUACCGAUGAAUGUUGAACUCUGUCUUCGUCCAGAAAAAAAUAAAAUAUAAAAAAGAUAAAUUACACUUUUGGUUUUCAAACUAUAAGACAUAUGACACUUUAGUCCUUAAAUUUUAAUGUGUUAUAAUUUUUAGGUCAAACCACGAGACACGUUAUAUUUUAAUCCUUAAACUUUGAUAAGUUUCAAUUUUUAAUUUGCACAAUGAGGCACAUGACAUAUUUUUGCAAAAUUUCUGGCUUACACAUUACAUGUUAGUCUUACACAUUGCAUGUUAGUCCUUAAUUUUUACUACUACUAUAAAUAUAAUUUAUUAUUUUUGUGAUUUUUUCUUACUUUUUUUAAUCUUCUUAUAUUUUUAUUUUUAGGAUUUUACUGCAGUAGUUUCUUUUAUUUUUUAUUUUUUAUUUUUUAUUUUUUAUUUUUUAUUUUUUAUUUUUUAUUUUUUAUUUUUUGACUCUUAUUUUAUUUUUAAAUUUUUUUAAUUUUAUUUAUUUAUUUAUUUAUUUUUUGAAAUUAACCCGCAGCAACAGGUGGCUGCCUGCACUAGCAAUACUAUGAAACCUCAGUUUCAAUCCACCUUGCAAAAGGCACCACAUAAUCAAUAACAAACCAAUCACCUUUCUUCUUUUCAAACAAAAGUACAAUAAAAAUACUUUUUUAUAAUCAUGAUGGGACAUAUAUUUUUAAAGAGAGAUUUUUGAUUGGUUUAUUACACCACGUCACCAAUAUACCCGUUGCAUUCUAAAAUUUUUCCAAUAGGAGGUGAGUGCUGGUGGGGUGGUGGUGCCGUGGGGCCCAGUCGGGUGGGGGAGGGUAGUUUCUCUCUCUCUCUCUCUCUCUCUUUUGGUGUGGAGAUGAGGAUUUGGAACUUUUUUUUUUUCAUCCAAUCUAAUUUUUUUUAUUAUUAUAGAAAUUUAAAAUAUAUAAUUUUUUUACGUAUAAUUUAGAAAUAGUUUCGACUGUAUUCAUUAAAUAAAAAAUUUAAUUUUAUAAUAUUGAUCACUUAGAUAUAAAUUGUAUAAUAAAAUAUAAAAAAAGAUUAAUGUAGUUUAAGUUAAUUAUUUAUUUUAAUAAAUUUAGUUGUUAGAAUCAUGUGAAAUAUAUUAAUUAAAUCUGCAAAACUAAGCGACAUAUUCAAAUGUUGAAGUCAAACAAUUAUUGACUGUCUCACAUCUAUCAUAUGAAAAAAGCUGAAUAGUAAAAAUAAAAUUUUGAAAAGUUGAAUAGCUGAUUGAAAAUAGUUCAUAGUUCAGAAAUGUUUUACAUAGUUUUACUUUGAUUUUAGUAUUAAACUUUAAUAUCAUAUUUAUAGUCCAAUGAGUGAACAAUUUUACAUAUAAAUUUUUUUAAAAUAUUCAAAAUAUGAUUGGUCGACUAUUAAUUUUAAGAAUUAGGCAUUCUAAACUUUAUUUGAUAAUUUAACAUAUUUUUUUCUCAUAUAAAAAUACUAAUUGAAUAAAACCAAUCAAUUAAUGCUCAAAUGUUUUAUAUAUUUCUAUUUUGAUUUUAAUAUUAAAUUUUAAUAUCAUAUUUAUAGUCCGAUUAAUUUCACAUUUAAAAUUUUUUAAAAUAUUCAAAAUAUGAUUGAUCGAUUUUUAAUUUUAACAAUUAGUCAUUUUAAAAUUUAUUAAAUAGUUUAACAUUAAUUUUUCUCACAUGAAAUUAUUAAUUGAACAAAACCAAUCAAUAUUCAAUUAUGACUUCGUUUGAAUAAGAAUAAAAUAUAAAAAAAAGGAUAAAAACGCUAUUGGUCCUCAAACUAUAAGACGCAUAAAACUUCAGUUCUCAAACUUUCAUUCGUUACAAUUUCUUAUUCAAACUAUAAGGUUCGUAAUACUGUAAUCCGUAAACUUUAAUUAGUGAUAAUUUCUGUCUCCAAUUACGAGGCAUAUCAUAUUUUAAUUUUCAAAUAUUCUUAUGGCAUUUACAAAUAUAAUUUAUUAUUUUUAUUAUUUUUUUAUACUUUUAAUAUUUUUAUUUCUAUGACUUUACUGCAGCAGCCGCUGCUUUUUCUUUAAUUUUUUUUUAUAUUUUAUUUAUAUUUUUAACUUUUUUCUUAUUAUUUUUAGUUUUAUUUAUUUAUUUAUUUUCGUGGAAUCAAUCCGCCUGCAACAUGCAAUACCUUCACUAAUUUACAUUGAUUCGUACGUACUGACCUGCAUGUAGAACAAAGGAGAGAACUCAGGACUGUCCCCAUCAACGUCCACCCAGUCCGCCAGCGGCACUUCCUUGUCUGCCUCAGCCGUCGCUGUGGCGCCCUCCAAGAAUUCCGCCGUGCUGACCUCCAUCACCGCCGCCUGCACGAGCCGAACCCCGGCGUCGUUCGGCUUCACCGCCCACCCUCCUUCUCCCUCCCCAACAGCAGCUCUCUGAAGGCGCCCCGCCAGCUCCGGCCUCUCCGCCAGCGCCACGCUCAGCGACUCCUUCAUCCACGCCGCCACCAUCCACGCCGACUCCUCCUUCCCGGCGCUACUGUAGUAAAGUAUGAUGCGGAGCCGACUCUGAAAGAGUGGGGCGGCGUAGGUGGCGCCGGUGGUGAUGUGGCGGGGACGCCGCCCGGGCUCCGUCACUCGGCACGGCAUCGCCGUAUGUAUCGCCUCGACGUGGAGCUCUUUCGGGAGAAUUCGAUCAGCCAUUAGAACACAGAAUUUAAACUAUAUAUAAUGAUCGUAUUCCUUUCUUUUUGGCUUUUUUUUUUAGCUUUUUUUAGCUAUAUUUGAUUUUACUCUUUUUGGAGGGAACUAAUAAAGGGCGAGGGGACUGGGGAGUGGAGUGGUACUUGAAAGGAAAAUAAAGAGUACUGCUGUGGGGAGUACCCCUCAACAGUAGACAACUUUAAAAUCACCCGUACCCCCUUAACAUUUUUUUUUCUUUUUUUAAUUUGCAUAGUUUUAGUAAUUAAUUUAUGGAGUUAUUCUCACUCAGUUCAGUUGGUCCUGGGACUUUUCAUUAAUUUAAAUUGCAUAGCUUUUUUUUUUCACUUUUUAAUAAGGUAAAAAACUUACCAAACCUAUCGAUCAAAACUUUGGACAAUUUUGAUUUGGCUAUAAAUCUUUAAAAAUUUUAAUUAAACUAUCCAGAUUUUGAAUUUAUUUUGAUUAGUUGGAGUCGGACAAUGUUGUAAAAUAUUUGAUCCGUUUUCUAAUUAAUUUGAAAUAAUUCAUAAAUGAAUUAGUAAAUAAAUAAAUAUUUAUAUAAGUAUAUAAUAAGACUAUGCAAGAAAUAAAUUAAAAUCGGGUUGGCAUGGGAUGAGGCGUGCACGAAGCACUGUCCUAGAGACGAAAUUGCCCCUCCACGGCGAGGCUGCGUGGCGCGCAAUUCACUCUAGCAAUACAACUCCCUCGAAUUCCCGAAUCUCCUCCGUCGGCGCGGCUUCAAAGAAGUGCUAAUUGAGUCUAUUCCAGCUUUAGGGAUCUUAGUUAGAAAACAACUUAGAAAAGAGGAUCAAAGUAAUUUCUCAAAAAAUUGUAGUACUGAUAAUGCAUGAGGGCUCCGUUCUUUUUCUCUCUCAGACUCUCUCGGACUCUUUAAAUUAUCCAUAAAUCUAACAUUCCCCACAUGAUUUAAAAUUUUAUAAAAUUAUUAAAAAUAAUUAUCGAAUAAAUGAAAAUUAUGAAGCUCGUGAAAGAAAAAAAUUGAGAUCCUUAUACUUCACAAUCAGCAUAGGGUACUUUUCAAUUUGAACCCUUGCUUAGUGUUAAUUGUGUACAUCAGCGGGCUCACUAUGCCUUAAAGCAGGCCGGUGGUACAGAUUUCCACAUAUCACACAUGAAGUACAGCCAGUUAGACUCGAGCGGUGUGCGCUGUUAGCGGCCAUGCACAAAGUAUCGAUUCAUGUGUGUUUUGAAAAAUAUCCCAAUUUUCACAGCCACGAUCUCACGACUCCACACAUAUAGUAAGUCCAGUAAGAGGGUGAAUGUAAGGUAACACCCUGCUCCAUAGAUGCAUAUAGCUGUAGAUUUAUUCUAGCUUUCUUACUAUACUUGUUUAAAUCUGUAGACUUAGUGGGUGAGAGGUCGGUAGCGGUACCCACUAAGGACUAUUUCUUUUUGCAGUAGUUCUCACGCCCAGUUGUUGGAAUUUUUUGCAGAGUCUUCUUUUUCGGCUGCUGCUGCUGCUGAUUCAGACCGUGAAAAGAAAGUCGCGAGUUAGAUCCCUUCCCAGUUGCUACUGAGCUAAAGUAUACCAGCUAGCUACAGGUACCGGUAGUUUUUGAGUUCAUAUCAUACUUUUGUUGUAUCUCGCAGGAGCGAUUGUUUUUUAUACCAGGAUGCUUGUAUGUAUAGUGAACUUAUGUUUUUAUAUAUAUUAUUUCUUCUAGCAGCUCUAUACUACUGGUUGUAGUAUUGUUUAAUUACAUGUACAGCUGUCGCUUCAAAUACAGAAAAAAUUCCUUUGUAUACGACGGAUUUGUCGGCGUGCCCGGAAAAACGAGUAAUCCGGAACGUAACAGGUAAAAUAGUAAUUUUCCAGAGAUAACGGCAGCUCACUAACGGAACUUAACUCCAGGAAUAUAUUAGAAAGACUUGAAACAUAAGAAAGGUAUUUUCAAUAUUAGCGUUCUAAGAGGGGUAAAUAAGAAAAUCAGAAACUUUUCAGCAGUUUAUAGGAAUUGCCCCUUAAUAAAAUUACCUUAUAAGAUGAAAUUUUAAAUCACAAAAUAAUACUAAAUCUAACAGACAAUGACACUUUGAUGUUCAAAUUUUGAAUUCAGUUUGACUUCCUUAAAGUAAGUAAUUAGAUUUGACUAAUUCAAAUCAAAUAAACUGAGAGAGUAAAUAGUAAAAUUAAAAUUUUUAAAAUUUUGAAUAGUCAAAUCAAAAUUGCUCAAAUUUCAGAUAAGCUCUACACGUUUUCACCUUUUUAGUGAAUAAACCUUUACAAGUCAACAACUACUACUCCCCACUAGCAAGUGAGCUAUUAAAUUUGAUGAAAUUUUGAAUUUAAGUGAGAAAAAAAAUUUAAAUAAAAAGAUAGAAGCUGAGGGAGCGUGAGUAAAAUACAAUACGAAAUUAAGAGGCCCAUUUCAAAUGGCCAAUACUAAAUUUAUUUUCUAAUUGUCCUCAUAUAUUUCAAUUUAGUCUUCGGCUCAUAAUUACAUAAAAAAAAAAUUCUUUUCGCUAAAAAUUAAUCUUUUCAACUCUAUUUUGAAUAUAAUUGAAUAAGAAAGUCAUUUUAUAAAAGAGACAAAUGUCAUUGUAUAAACCGUUAGAAAUAAAAUUGUUAUGUAUGUAAAAAAAAAAAUAAAGAAAAAAAAAUACUUUGCUUACAAACACAAUCUCAUAAUAUUUUACAAACAAUAAAAUUUAAUGGUUGGAUUUCAAUCUUGAAAAUAAAUCAUGCUUACUUUCUCGUGAGUUACACUUCUCCAUCAAUUAAUUAAUACCGUCGCUAUACUAGUUUGUGAAAUAUUUUAAAAUUUAUUUGUAAGUAUAGCAUUGCUCAAAAAUUAAAAACAACAAAAUCGCAUUAUCGAGAUUGUAGAGCAACCAAUAAUUCAUACAACUAUCUGUAGUGAGAAAAAGAAUAGAGAGAAAAAAAAAUCUUUCGUUGCACUUAGUGUACACUAAAGCUCCAUAUAUCGUAUGAUAUAUAUAAUGUUUAUCGUAAUAUUUUAUGAUUAAUAUCACAAACUAAUAUUUUUAGAGUUGGUUUACAGCAUACUGGGCGCGUCGAAUAUUCUUUUCGAAUAUGUUUCAUGCUCCUAUUGGCUCCUCCCUAAAACAGUGACAGGUGGCUCAAUGUGGAGCCAUUUUUCUUGAUGUGAUGAAAGUGCCAAAUUAUGUAUUCCAUUCCAUACACCAUACGGUAUAUAUAAUUGUUAGAUAUAUGAUGAUUAAUACAGCAAAGUAAUAUAUCAUAUACUAUGUGUAAUAUAAAAUAUUUAAGUAACUUAUUAUACUACGAAGAUUUUCUGUGCAUACUUUUAGAAUUAGGCGUGUCCAACAUUCUUUCUGCAUAUGUUGCAUGCCCCCAUUGGCUCCUCACUAUAACAGAAUUAGAUUAUAAGGACACAUAUUUGGAAUAUUUUUGUAUAAGUGUUCCAUUUAUAUCAAAACUUUAAAAAAAAAUCUACUAAUGUCUAAAUAUAAAGUCCAAUCCAAUCAAAAAUAAAAAGUUACUCUACUCAACCCAUCCCACCCAGCCCAUUCGGCCCGAUUACAAACAGAAAAAAAAAAAAAGAAAAAAAAAUCGAUUAUCAUUUUCCCUUCUCCCCUUACUCAAUCGACUAAAAUUCUAUACGAAAAUCCCUCCCUCUCGUCCUCCUCCGCCACCAGCCAACGAGGUAGAGUUCCGGCGGUUGCUAAAUAUUUAAAUAAAUGUUGGUAAAUUAGCAGCACUUUUUUAGGUUAUAGCGACACUCUUUAAUUGUCACUACAUACCUAGUGACCCCACAUAUAGCAACACUUUUUAAAAGUGUCGGUAAUUUAGCCAGCAACACUUUUUUUGACCUGUACCGAUAUUUAAAAAUGUCAUUAUAAACCGUUUUUGUUGUAGUGCCUCCCUUAAACAGUGAAGCGGCUCAUGCCAAAUUAUGUAUUCUACAAUCAAACGAGUAAUCAAGAAAUGUUAUAUAACGUAACACCUCUUCACGUAGCAGUACCAAAAUAAAACUUCAUUGAAGAGCGCACUACACCUGAUUGCGAGACCAAAUAUCUAAUUACUGCUUGCUUGGCUUCGACUUUUUCUAGUUAGGCAUUUGAUAGGUAGAUAUCUUGCCCUUUAUAUACAAAUAAAGGAUGGGCCAUUCCUUGCUAUUUAUCAAUAGAUUAAAAUAUAGAAUGACCAUCUAAAUUUGUGCAAAUAGAUAUAUAAACUUUUAAUUUUGUCAAAUUAUAUUGUCUAAAUUUUAUUAAACAGUUUAAUAAACUUUUCUUCUUAAUUAAAAUUACUAAUUAGAAAGCUAUUUUGGUCGAACUUAUUGUAUAUAAUCUUGUAAUACUUUAAAAUUCUACAAAAAGAAAAAUCAUUCUCUUCUGUACAUAUGAUAAGAGUAAUGAAACUUGAAGAAUAUUUAUGUGGAAAACAUGUGAUUCAAAUGGUUCUUCGAUUUAUAAAUUUAUCUGCAUGAGACCAUUGAACUAUUUGAUAAAGUUUAGACAACUCUAUUACCAAAAACUAAAAGUUCAGAUAUUUAAUUACAAAAAUGCUAAAGUUUAAGAAACAACGCUACCGGUACACCCCAAAGUAGGGUGUACAUUUUACACCCGCUCCAUUUCAAGAAAAAUUAAUAAUCUACCUCUCACAUUAACUUCUUUUGUUUUUAUUAAAAAUUAUUUAGAUUUUUAUCAAUUCUAGGAUGACGAGGGUGAGUUAUAUACCCCUUUUUGGUUGUACAAGAAGUAUUUUUUAAGUUUAAAAUUAAGGACUAUGCUUGAGUUUAAAACUGCCCUUUUAAAUAGUAAUAUGAAAUUCCUCUAAUUUAAAUUUCACUUUUAAAUUUUAAGUAUUUAAUUUUUAAAAUUUAAAUUUAUCGUAUUUAGAAAUAAAACUAUUUCUAAAAUUUCUAUAAUUUAAAUUAAUGCAUAAUUUGAGAAGCACUAAAACAUUUAAAGUAGAUUCCUAAAUUAAUGCCUAAUAAUUACAUAAAUUUGGUUAAUCAAUUAAUUUCCUAAAUUAGUGCUAAUUAAUGCAUAAAUUUAGGACCUCAAUUAAAAAUUUCUUUAAAUAUUGUAUUAUUUAAUUACCAAACUAACCUUGAAUAAAAUAAUUCUUUUACCUGCUAAGUAUUAAAGUUAUAUUUUUAUACUCUAUUAAUCAACGGUUAAGAUUUUUUUUUAAAAAAAAAAAAAAGUACCGAAUCAUUUCUCUUCCUUUAUACAUCACACUAUCAAAUUGUCUUAAUAUUAGACUUCUCCACCAGAAAAAAAAAGUCAACAAUUUUUUAUUUUCUUAAUUAUCAGUAGUAACUAUAUAGAGCCACGAGAGACACACGAGUAGUUGAGAUCUAAAAUAACAGCUGCUACAAUAGUUAACAUGGUGUCCGAGAAAGGUCUCAAUUAAUUACUUAAUUUCCUCCUUUACACAGGUUUCACAUGCAUUGAGUAUUAAAAUAUAAUAAAAUUUUCUAAUUAUUGGUGAAGGAGCAUAAUUUAUAUCUAUAAAAUAUAUAAAUCUCCAUCGUAUCACCAAAAAGGCUCUUCAAUGAGUCACGCCUCCACUUAUGGCAAACAACCAGUGAGUAGGUUCGGCUUGAAAUUAAUUUCGAGCCUAAAUUUAAGCUCAAGCUUGGAUUGAAAUUAAUUCGAGCCGAGCUACGCAGCGAGCCUAAUUUCAAGUCGAGCGAGCUCAAGCCUAAACGAGCGCUUGAAAUUCUGAACAUUAUACGAUCAAUAGUUUAAUUUGUAUAGAACAUUAUCUAUAUAUUUGAUACAAAAACAUGUCUAAUAGUUCAAAGUACAAAAUAAUUAUAUGAAAAUAUAGUAUUAUAAUUAAAAAAAAUAAUUUAUGAGUUGAAUAUCUAAUUUUUUCAGCCUCACAUGUCUUUUCUUCCGCCUUCAAUUUCUAUAUUAUUCAUUUUCAUUUAUGCAGUCAAAAUAAAAUAAUUUUAUAGAUAAAUAUUGGAUUAAACUACCCAAUCAUAUAUAACUAAAAUUAAAAUUUUAAUGAAUAAUAAUUUUUUUUACUUUAAAAAUAUUCUAUAUAUUUUUUCAAGCAUACAAUAAAAAGUAAGGUAGGCAACGGCGGGCAUAGAUGUUACUUGGUAACUUAGAGGGCUUCUGGCUUGGCCACUUAGGUGAGAGGCAGAAAAUGAGAAAGAGAGAAAAAUAUUGAAAAAUUAAACUCUAUAAAGAAAAGAAAGAAAGAAAGAAAGGAAAAUUUAUAAAUUUAGUAAAAAGUUUGCUCUUUUAUUUGUCUAUUGGGUUUGUUUUUAUGGCAACAAUAUUAGCCAAUUUUAACUAAACUCAGAUUAUUCACUCAACCUAUAUAUAAUUAAAAUAUAUUAUAUUUAUAUUUUUUAAUAUAUAUAUAUAUAUAUAUAUAUAUAUAGUGUAGAACUACUAUGCUAUCGAAAUAUAGAGGAUUUAUUGUUUUUGAAUUUUUGACUCUUUGAUUAAAAAUUGUAUCGUUGAGAUGAUUGCGGUCUCCCCUAGGAUUAAAUAAUACUCAUAGGAUUGAGUGGUCCCUAUAAGGUAAUAAUAAUAUUAAUCCAAAGAUAAGAAACGAUUAAAAGGAUUGAUCUAAGAAUCAAAAAAUCGAAAGCACCAGAUCUCUAUACUUUCGAUAGUAUAGUAGCUCUACUAUAUAUAUAUUCGAGCUUUUCGAGCUUUUCGAGCCUAAUUCGAACGAGCCGAGUAAUACUCAAGCUCGGCUUGAAAUGAAUUUCGAGCCUUUUUUUUUUGUUCAAGCUCGGCUCAAUUAAUUUCGAGUCGAGCUCGAGCGAGCCAAAUAUCGAGUCGAACGCGAGUCGAACACGAGCCGGCUCGCUCAUUUGCCAGCCCUACCAGUGAGAACUAACUUACCACAUAGCUAAUAGGACUUUUUGAUUAAUGUACGGUAAACCGAUUAUAAAAUAUGUAUCAAAAAUAAAUUUUUAUAAUACAAUAAAUUAUUUAAAUAUUUUAUAUUACACAUACUAUAUUGAAUUUUAUUUUAUAAUACUAAUUAUCAAAUAUUUUAUCAAUCAUUCAAUAUGCUUUUGUGGUGUAUAAAAUACUAGUAUACACUAUUGAAAGCAAAACUUUUUUCUCUUGGAAUUAUGAGUGCACUCUAUUAAACAUUCUCCACACCAGAUGUAUAUAAGUAUAUACACCACAUACUUAAAAUCUCCAACAGGGAUUUUAAAAUUUAAUUCAGUAAAUGUAUUUAAAUUAUUACAUUUUGUACGUUAAAUAUAUUUUAUUAAGUUUUAAUAUUAUAACAGCCUGACUAGCUAGCAAUAAUAAUAACUCAUUUGGCCCAAAACAUCAACCCAAAAUAUUUAAACACAGUUAUUAUUACCAGUGUCUAUGGUCUCUUAAAUACUCAAUUAAAACUCCAUUCUCAUCCAAUAUAGAACUAUUGGAGUGCCACAAACUCUCCCCAUUUUGGGUUCCAACGUUCUCGUCAACCCAAUCACACACACAUCCCAAAAUCACAAGGCGAUAUGAGACUUAUUUUGCCAACCUUGUUAUUCCGAUGAGAACUUGCCACAUGGCUAAUAGGAAGUUUGGAUGCACCCAGUGCACCGUAAACCGAUUAAAAAAUAUGUAUCAAAGAUGAAUUUCUAUAGUAUAAAUUAUUUAAAUAUUUUAUUUUACACAUACUAUAUAUGUCGUAUUUUAUUUCAGGGGGCUCUACAGCUGGUGUUACACAUGAAUAGACUUGGGGGGAUUUAUAUCCUCCUCGAGAAUCAUUAUAGCAGCUUUUACCACGGAGACCCCCCCCCCCCCNCCCCCCCCACAUCCUUCUUCAACCAUGACCUGACACCUUCGGCACUUGAGUCUGUGUUCCCCUCUCUCGGCAUUUUCUGCCAAUUGUGCAAACGGGCCCACCCUGGCUGCUCCUCUCGGGUUGGGCCUUCCAGGGUCUGACGCUACUCCACGAUCGGGUGUAGUUUCGAUCAUCUGGCCAGCUUGGGUCCACACUUCGUCUCCUUGGGUUUGUGCUUGGGCUUGGUCCUGCUGUAAACCGAACUUCUGUAAACCCAACUUCAAUCUGCUUCGGGCCAAAGGUAGCCUCAACCUCAAGUCGGUUUGGGCCGGCUGCAGGAUCGACCUUCGAAGGCCUUCUGACUGCCGCUGAGCCCCCACUCUGCUACUCGAACUUCAACGGGCCACUACUAUGCAGCCAAAUACAUAUUCUACUCGGGUAUCCUGCAAUGGCCGGGAUGGACUUCGGCAGCUCACUACCCGCUACUACGAUUGCAACCUCUCCCUGUUACUCACUCCCAAUCAGACCCCCACCCUGCGAACUGGGCUCAUCCUCACUUACGCUGGACUCGGGGACUCAACCUCUCGACACUGCUUGUGAAGACAACAUCGCUCUGUUUCAACCAAGAUCGAGUGCACGCCUUUAGAACCAAAGGGCGAGCUCUGCUUUAUGCAAGACUAUGCACAGGAAAGCGCGCCUUCUUGGGGACGAGACUGCUGAAUCCGGGACAGCUUCGCGCAAAUGGUCAAGGAAGAGGGUCAAGGCGAAAAGUCUUUUCUGUGGUGUGAAGCUGUCUGAUGCUGGUGCUAAGGAGUUCCACAACUUCCUAUGUGGGAAGGUCUAGGCUCCCGACAUCCAAGGUGGUUUAGAUGUCUUUCUUGUGCGUGUUGCUGUUUUUGAUGUUUAAAAUAUUAUGUUGGAAUGUCCGAGGUCUUAACGACGCCUCUAAGCGACGCUGCGUCAAGUUGGUAGCUUCUAGCUUCUUUAGUGCUGUCGUUUGUUUACAAGAAUCAAAAGUGGACUAUGUUUCUCGUUCCUUUCUUCGCUCUUGUUGUGGCUCCUCCUUUGAUAGGCGUCAAUUUAUUCCCGCAUGCGGGGCUUCCGAAGGCUUAAUCACUUGUUGGAGUUCCAAAUACUUCUCGUGGAGCGAGGUCAUCGUCAGGAAAUACUCUCUUUCCCUUCGUUUAACUAAUCUCACGAGCAGGACGACCUUCUUUCUCACGAAUGUUUACAGGCCUCCUACCUGGGACGGAAAGGAAGAAUUUUGCUCCGAACUUCUAUCUCUACAAAAUGUAUGCACUUCAAACUGGGCUAUUUGUGGAGAUUUCAACUUCACCAGAAACCAUUCUGAACGAAAAGGAAACUCCUGGAGCACUAAAGCCAUGACUAUGUUCUCGGAUCUAAUAAUCAACCUAUCAGUUAUCGAUUUACCCCUGUCUAACCAAUGUUUCACCUGGACUAAUAUGCAACAUAGACCCUCUAUGGCAAAACUUGAUAGAUUCCUUAUCUCAACUGAAUGGGAUCAUUCCUUCCCUCAUUGCAACGUUAAGGCACUACCUAGGAUCACCUCCGACCACUCUCCGAUUGUGCUGUCAACUGGAUCUCAUCACUCACCCGCACCUCGGAGAUUCCGCUUUGAACGUGUUUGGCUCACCAAAGAGGAUUUUCACUCAAAAGUGCCUACCUGGUAGGACGAAAUUCCAGCCAAGGAUUCGGCAAUUCUAACGAUCACAGCCACACUCAGACACUGCAGAGCUAGAAUAAAGGAGUGGUGUAAGACGAACUUCCACAGCAUUUCCUACUCGAAGAGGCAGCUGCAGGAGGAAAUUCUUGCUAUUGAUCACUUAGAAGAACAGCACGAUCUACCUCUGGAGCUAAUAGAUAAAAGGGCGAUUCUUAAAUCACGUCUCCACGUAAUCCUAGAGAAGGAAGAAAUCCUGUGGAAAACUAGGACCAAACAACUUUGGCUAAAAGAAGGAGACGGGAAUACUAAAUUUUUCCAUGCGAUUGCUAACGGACGGAGGCGCAGCAACUUUAUUGAUGUCAUCGAAGACAGCAAUGGCAGAGAAAUCUCUAAUGAAGAACUUAAGAGAUCAUGUUUCUUCCAAGCCUUCAAGCAACGGUUCGGUCAAACAGAAGCUAACCCACCUGCCUAUGGAGAUUGGAGCAGUCUUUACCACUCUAAUAGACUGAGCAAUUAACGCUGGCUCCCUAAUGUCACCAUUCACUCUAGAGGAAGUUAAAUCUGCUACAUUUUAACUUGGAAGUGAUAAGGCCCCUGGACCAGAUGGCUUUUCUCUUACUUUCUUCCAAACUUUCUGGGAGACGGUAAAAGCCGACAUUUUUAACGUUUUCACUGAUCUAUAUGACAACAAGGUUUUUAUUGGCCCAUCUGACUAUUCUACUGUGUGCCUCAUCCCCCAAAAGAAGGAGCACGCAAGGUUAACGACUACCGUCCGAUAAGUCUCAUUAACAGCAUUCAGAAAAUUAUUUCUAAGGUCCUUGCCAACAGGCUCGCUCUUACUCUGCCAUCCAUAAUCUCCUCAACGCAAUCGGCAUUUCUUAAAGAUCGACUACUGACUGACUCGUUCGUCAUUGCUAGUGAACUAGUCAACUGAUGCUCCAAAACUGGCAAGGAUUGCAUAAGCAUCAAGAUUGAUUUCAAAAAAGCUUUUGAUAACGGCAGCUGGGCCUUUCUGAAAAGUAUACUGCAUUGGUUGGGAUUCAAUGACAAAUGGUGGGCCUGGAUCGAACAGUGCAUCUGUAACGCAAAAGUCGCCAUCCUGGUCAAUGACAUCCCGACCUCGUGGCUUAAAACAAGAAAAGGGCUCAGACAAGGCGACCCUCUCUCCCCCUACCUCUUUAUCUUGGUGGCCGACUGUCUGGCUAGGCUGACCAACAUCGCGAGGGACAACAACCUACUUUGUGGAAUCGGACCGUCGAUCGACUGUCAAACAGUGCUUCAAUAUGCGUAUGACACAAUCUUUUUUUCCGAACCUAGGAAAUACAUCAUGCGGAACCUACAGUUUAUUUGGAAAAUCUUUGAAUGGGUAUCUGGACUCUGAAUUAAUAUGGACAAAUAUGAGCUAUACUACCUGGGACCGGACUCACAUAAAGCAGACAGACUCGCUAAUAUCUUAGGAUGUAAAGUCGGGAACCUACCGGUUCGCUAUUUGGGGCUACCGCUGUACAAUAAGCGCCUCCGUAGAGAGGACUGGGCGUGGUUAUCGACCGUAUAACUGCACAAAUUGAAGGGUGGAAAGCUAAACUCCUCUCCCAAGGGGGUAGAAUAACACUAGUCAACUCGGUCCUUACUAACUUACUGUUAUUCUAUCUAUUCAUCUUCAAAGCGCCGCAGUGGGUUCUACACCGGAUAGAAACUCUCAGAAGAGCCUUCUUCUGGAAAGGAGGCGACAUCAUCUCUGGAGGAGCAUGCCUUGUCAAUUGGACAAUAAUCUGUAAGAGCAAGAAAGAUGGUAGGUUAGGGAUCAAAGAUAUUGAAUCUAUGAAUUUGGCACUUUUAUCGAAAUGGUGGUGGCGCUUCUUUAAUGAGCCGCAUCUACCUUGGUGCAAAAUCAUCAGGUCUCUUUACUACACUAGGAGAAGGCCCCUACACGAGGGUCGAACCUUUGUUCCUUACUCGCAAUGGUGGAAGAGUGUGGUUUGUUGCCAUAACAUCUUUAAAUGUGGUUUAUCUUUCAAGCUUAGUGACGGACGAAAUAUCAGGCUGUGGUCUGACAUCUGGACAGGGAAAAUGCCCUUAGGCACCUUGUUUCCAAAAAUCUAUGCAACUAUUGUGCACAAAGACACUCAAGUAUCAAAGUGCAGGAAUGCAAAUGGAUGGCAUUGGCGCUUUAUCACUAGGGGUUUCCAGGCAUCUCAAUCAGCCCAACGCCGAUCACAGCUGGCGCUGCUCAAAGACUUGCUUCUGUACAGCAGACCUGAUUUACCCAAAUGGAGAUGGACCUCCAACCAACAGUGUCACGCCCCGGGGUCCAUUUUCGUUUGAAAACACAGCGAAAAUAGCUAGAAUUUUUUUUUUUUGAAAGACCUGACCCCAGGGUAUGCCAGAUACGCCACAAAUACAGAGAGUUCACUGAUCACACGGACAGAGUCUCCCCUGUAUUUGCACGGCGUCGCACAAGUACAACAAUUAAACAGGAUACAACCACAGCUAAAUGAUUAUAGAAACGACUAUACAAUCAUUCAUUCACCAUUCACAUCACAGUUAUAUAUUCAAUAUUUAAAUAUAAAUCUACAUCUAUCAGUUAAAACAUUUCCAACUCAGAAACAGAUUUUGAAAUACUAAGAUACAAAAUCCACAGAAAACCUUUUAAAAACUACUCCCUACAUGAAAACUUUUAUCUUUUAGAAACGCUACCACGAGGGGUAGAAAAUCAUUCAACAUUUGAAAUCCACAAAUCCUUUUUAUUACAUCAUAAAUCCAACUGAAAACUCAGAUAUUCAAAUAAUAUAACAAAACUGAACCAUAAUAUAUCUAAGUUAUUUAUUCAAGCAUGAAGGAUAAAGAAUAACCGACACGGGACGAAGCUCUAUCGUACGCUAGACACGCUCCUCACCAGCUGUCCCACUCGGACCUGCGACGUCACCUGUAAUGGGGGCGGGGGGGUGAGAGCAUGUAAACAUGUCUCCCCUCCUAGUGAGUACCCCUCGCCCACCCCAAUAGUCCCACAUCGGAUGGGAAUGUAGUUGUCAUUGGGUUUAUAAGAGACUUAGACACUAGUAAUAAUAACUGGGCUUAAGUAUUUUAGGCCGGUGGUUGGGCCCAACGAGUUAUUAUUGCUAGUGGCUGGGUCGUUACAUUUGGUAUCAGAGCCGGUUCACCAGCUGGACAUGUGUG
rnacentral:lncRNA from 1 species